UAUAUAUAUGAGUCAGGUGUUGAUAGCAAGAAAUUCUUGUGGUGCUAGAAGAAAUAUUCCUCAUCGACAACCAUCGAUAACGUAGGAUGGACAAGCAUGCGAUUCACAUCCUUGCUCUAUUCCUGCUUCUACAUCUCACUUGCUAUGCUACUAUUGCACAAUGUAAGAGCACGGUUAUUUCUCCAUCCUUUCUUUUGAUUCAUGUUAGAUCCUUGGGCAUGUUGGUUUAUCGAAUCCAAAGCAAUUUGCUUAGCAAUGUUUCAUUCUUAUUCCCAUAGGCCGAAUCAUCGCCGACAUGGACAGCGAGAAGAUCAAUCUACCAAAUGGGUUGUGCGGCCUACAAAAGCUCUGCACUGGUGAUCAUUGCUACUGUUGCCUAGCAAGUAAUACUUGCUAUGCUUCUAUGGCUGUGUGCAAGAGAUUCUGUGGAUAACUAGUGGAGAUGAAAAUCACCCCGCCUUUACCUGUUCCUUUUCUAGCAUUGUUAGAUUGGCUUUCAUAUUUAUCCUUUCCAGCAUAUAACGCGUGAUGCGAGCAAAAACUGUUUGGAAUAAGAGUAUUACCCUAUGCUAAUUGUUUCAGUUCUGUUUGUCAUAUUGCAUUUGAACUAUUAUUACUCUGAUAGUGCAAAUAUGAAUCCAGUGAUUGUCGGUCUUCAUAAAAGAGGUUAUGAGUGUCGUCGUAAAAUGGUCUCGUGGUUCAGAUUCAGCACAGAAACGUAUCUGAAGUAUUAGAAAAAGAAUAAUGAUAUGCAGGAAUUCCCACAUCGAUUUUGAGAAAGUUUACAUGUAUAAUUAGUAAUAUAUAUCUGCUAAUUAUGAUUGGAACGGUUAAGAUCAAAAGAUUAAUUAUGAUGAUAAUUAAGUGUAACGAUAGUCCUAAAACAACAUUGAGAGUAUGACGUUAGAAAAACGAUCAUAUUGAGUUGACCCAAACUUGUUUGUUAUACUUUGACAUAAAAUCAUCAGAAGUCAAUUGUAAUAACAUGGAGUGUUAACGUGUGAUUUAGUUCCUUAGACCAUGAGAGUAACCUAGUCCCUUCUUACCGUAUGAUGUGAGGUUUCUCAAACGCCAUCUGUAACAUGGUGAUCAUAACGACAACUUACAGGUUCAUCAGAAAGUUUGACAAGGGACUAGAUAGCUCGAGAGUGGAAUUUUCUCCUCCAAUGAUGGAGAGAUACUCUUAGGGCCCUCUCGGUGUGACGGCAUAUGUCAUCGUCUGGCUAGACACAAGUGACUAUGUCACGGGGAUGCAGGAACAUGUCAAUGAGAAAGAAGAACAAAAGCGAUAACGAGGAAACCGGUAUAGUGAGCAUGUGUAUGAGGAUACUGAUAUAUCUCACCUCCGGUUUUGUAAAGUAUCGCGAAGCAAAUUGAAUAGCACAUGAUAACCAAAGCUUCACCCGAAUGUCAUUCGUGUACUCACAGGGAUCGAUAUGGACGCCCACGGUUCCGUAACCCAUCAUUGAACGAAAAGGGUUUUGUUCAUGUCUAUGUUUUACCGAACCAACAGGGUCACAAGCUUAAUAUAAUCACGAUCUGUUGAGUGUUAGUUGGGUGGGAAUAAUGAGAAUAUAUUUGUGAAAUAGUUUCACUAGUAUUCGAAAUAGUUUCAUGAGGAAUCAGAAGUGUUUGAGGGUCAUCGGAUGAGUUUCGGAGUUUACCAGGCAAUACCAGGUAUUAUCGAUAAAUAGUAUAUAGCUGGAAAAUGUUUCUGGUGAUGUUAAAUUAACAAUAAAAGGCUUCAAUAAUAGUUAGGAGGCUUUUAUAUUUAAUUCAAUAUCAACGAACCUUAAAAGGCCAAGUGGUGGAAAGCAUAUUGGGCCACAAGGGCCCAAUAUAGGUGGCGUCCCUCUCCCCAUGGAAAGGAGAGAGGGGAGGCUGAAUUGGAAGGUGAACCCCUCUCCUCUUGGCCGGCCACGGGGGGGCUCCCCCCCCCCCUUGUGGCGUCCCCUCGUCCUCCUCCAACCUAUAUAUACUAGAGGUAUUGGCACUUUUGGACACACAAGUUUUGGAGCCUCCUCUAGUUUUCUAGUUCUAGUUCUAGUUGGUCCUAGUUGAUUAAUUAGAGCUAGACCUAGAUUCUCUAAUCCUCAUAAUUAGAAGUCUAGUUUGGUUCUAAUCUCCUCCCUCUAAUUCUUCGGUGGCGUUUACCUCUGGGCGGCGAAGCGCUGCUGGAUCAUUAAGACUGUAAGCUUGCAACUCGUAGAGAGGCCUUGCUUCCGAUCUUCUAUUUGAGGGACUAUUCAUGAGCGGUUUGCAGGAUCGUUCAUCUACAGUUCGAGGGACUCUAAGUACAAUCUACACAAACUCGUCUUCUUUUGCUGCAACUCAAAGUCGGUAACGAUCUGGUCCAAACCGUUCAACGCAUCUUCAUAGUGUUCCUGGUUGAUCGUAGGGCGGUUUUUUUUUUUGUUUUCUACCAUGUUUCCCAACAAUUUCUCCCUCAUACAUCCGGGCGUGUUCGGGCAUCAAACGGGAACCUAGUAGGCUCNNNNNNNNNNNNNNNNNNNNNNNNNNNNNNNNNNNNNNNNNNNNNNNNNNNNNNNNNNNNNNNNNNNNNNNNNNNNNNNNNNNNNNNNNNNNNNNNNNNNNNNNNNNNNNNNNNNNNNNNNNNNNNNNNNNNNNNNNNNNNNNNNNNNNNNNNNNNNNNNNNNNNNNNNNNNNNNNNNNNNNNNNNNNNNNNNNNNNNNNNNNNNNNNNNNNNNNNNNNNNNNNNNNNNNNNNNNNNNNNNNNNNNNNNNNNNNNNNNNNNNNNNNNNNNNNNNNNNNNNNNNNNNNNNNNNNNNNNNNNNNNNNNNNNNNNNNNNNNNNNNNNNNNNNNNNNNNNNNNNNNNNUCCGCCAUGUUAUCUUCAACAUGCCGGCCCAACACAAAAAGCCCACCCCAUGAUGCACCCUUCUCUUUUCCCGUCGGACCCUCUUUCCGCUCGGUUUCCUGCCGCAACGAGACAUUUCUAGCUGGAGCCCUCUCCUUUAAAGCCGGAUGAUGCCCACCUCACCUUCGUCGUGCGUUGCAACAUGGAUGAAAUUUUUCAUAUUUACAAUAUAAUAGAAUGGGUUAAACUAACACAUGCUAUUGUCACAAAAUAACAAAUAACUGUAUCGAUCAUUCUCAAAGGUCCAUUCAACUUUACAAAUGAAUGUAGUAAAAUACCAUCUUUUCAAGGGUUUCUAAUUGUGUCGCAGAAGGUGCCAAUAUUUUUCUCCCAUUUCUCAUAUCUUUCAUCUAUUUAGAGUUUGCAACGCCUUUAGUUCAGCAUGGCAACUUCAUGAUGAAACGACAUCGUAUGUCCCUUGAAUUUUGUAAUUGAUGAAACAAAAAACACAUACAUACACACUGACAUGCAAUACGGGUGGCAACCUGAACAUAUUCCUAGUCACCAAUAAGCUCCAUCUCUAGCCCACACACCAUUCAAUUCUAGAAAGGAUACUUGUCAUUCUUCUCUUCAUCGUCCUUCCCUACAUCUUGUACUCCUCGCUUCUUCUCCAACCCAUUUCGGCGCCAACCAGCACCAUGUCAACAUCAAUACGUUCGUCAACGGCGCCGCAUCUUCGUCAUACUCCUUCCUUGCCGGCUUUAGUUCUCGUUCCUACUUAUUUCCUAGAAUACUCUUUCUUUCUUUUUUUGUUUUAUCUUUUGGAACACUCUUUCCUUAUCCAACACCAUGGACCACUUGUCUGUUUUUGUUCUUUUUCCUUCCUAUUCUUGAAACACUCUUCCUUUCUACUAUAGCAUGAACCACCUGGCUAAUGUAGUGUCAUGUUGUCCUCGUCGAUGAAUGUUUCGGCAACCCUCAAUGUGUGGACAUCCUGCAGAGCAUGGUCGUCAUCCAUCUGGGUGAACGCUUGGUCGCCCAUGUCGCUAGUGCAUGGUGGCCAUUGUCCAUGUUGGCAAGCGGUGCUCGGCCAUGUUGCUGUGAGCCUAUUGACCGUCCUUGCCCGUGAAUGCUUUCAAUAUGAUUUUGCGCGAACCGCCUACCUAAUUCUCUGCAUGCCUAAUUAACUGUCAAUCAAAUCAAUUAAUUACAUGCCUAAUUUGUAAAAAAUAUCUACUUCUAAUUAUCUAUAGGCAUAAUUCAUUGUCUGCCUAAUUAAUUAAUUACAUUAAUGACUCGGUUUCCAAAUUGAUUCGGUGCGGAAAAAAAUGCUAUUUAAAUGGACCUAAUUAAUUACAUAUAAUUAAUUACAUAUGUAAUUAAUUGUCUUGAUAAUUAGUUGCAUUAGUGGUUUGAUUUCCAAAUUGAUUCAGCGCUCGAUUUCCAAAUUAUUUUUGCAUUAAUGGCUACUAUGAAUGACGACUACGUAAAUAUUUCCUUUAAUAAAAGAUAUAUUACACAUUUGACACGCCUCUUGAAGUGGAUUCAUUUCUUCAAGGCCUAUCGAGUAUUGUAGGACACAUUUUCUGAAUGGUUUUCCUGUCAUUUGAAUGGACACACUUGAUUUAUUGAGAAUGUAGCCUCCCUGACUCGCUAUAUGACCGACAAGAAACAUAAUAUGACCGCGUCCACGAACGCAUGUACGUGGCGGUCCGAUGACCCGCCUGCCACCACAGAGGUGGGAGUGUGCAAGGAAGAAACCAACGUGGAGGGGGGAUGGUGGGAGGUGAAGACGAAAAUAAAUCGUGAAAGAGAAAAUAAAAUAUGUGUACCGGCCUACCAACCCCCCUUUAAUAGUAGAGAUAUAUGUGAUUUGGUAAGGUAAGAAAAUAUAUGUGAUUUCGUAAGAUAAGAAAAAUUAUAUGUUACUUUUGUUGUAUUAGAAAAGUUGCGAUUGUUAUUUAAUAGUAGAGAUAUUGAAACAAUAAAUGGCAACACAUUAAGGAGUAUCUUUUUUUGUAAGGUAAUCAAGAAAAAUCUUAUGUUUGUCUUCUAGGAAGGUGAUCUCACGUAUACAAUGCGAUUUCUAAAUUUUUAAUUACAUGAUUGAAUUUAAUCAGCACAUGACAAAGAAAAAAGAAAACAAGAUCUUCCCCUUUAAUGAGAUUUGAUUUUUUUUUAAUAGGAGGGGGUGGUGUGAGGUGAGGCGGAAAAAAAUCAGAGGAAAAUAAACCAAUGAGGAGAAGCUAUCAACUCCCUCUUUAGGAGUAGAGAUUUUUAGUGCUAUAUUAUUAUCUUUUAUACGGUGACUCUCAAAUGCAUUCUUCACAAUCUUGCAAAAGAAGGUUGGAUCCUAGCGAGGAGAGUUAGUACAUCACUUGUCCUAAAUUAAUGCAUCACUUAUCCAUGUGUAAUCCUAAAUUAAUGCAUCACUUAUCCAUGUGUAAUCCUAAAUUAAUGCAUCACUUAUCCUAAAUUAAUGCAUCACUUCCUCAAGCUCAGCGUACAAUGGCCUAUAAAUAGCGACCUAUAUGCAGUAUAUGUGAUGCAAAACAGAAACAUAAUACAAUAUAGAGAAACCGUGCGCACAUAUUAGUGAUUAGCAUGGAGGCCAAGCUUGCAGUCAUCCUUGCGGCUUGCUUGUUGAUUUUCUUCACCAAUGGAGGUACGCAUGUAUACAGUAUUGUUUGCGCAGACAAAUACCUGAACAUAUUGCUUACUUUGCAUUGAAAACCUUAAUAUUCUCCAUUUCAUAAGUAUGCACGUACGCCGGGAACUAACAAAUCGGACGAUGCAGGAGACGCACAGUGCACAGUGAAACACCUCGUCGUCGCCCAGACCACGGCGCCGACGCAGCCCGGAGAGACGUACCCGAAGCAUCUGGUGACGGUGAAGAACACUUGUGUCUGCAUGCAGCUCAACGUGAAGAUGGACUGCGCGGGGUUCGACUCCUCAAUCGACGUCAUCCCUGCUGACACGAUCACGCCGGACGGCGACAAUGCGCUCUGCACCCUCAAUGGUGGUCGUCCGGUGUAUGGAAACGGCACGGUCUCGUUCAGCUACGCGUGGAGCACAGACAUCAGCUUCCGGCCCGUCUCGUCGUACAUGGAAUGUUCCGUAGCACCAUAAUGUCUAAGGACUCUAAAAACCAUGGAAAAGUAUACAAUUCGUAGUGUAGGAAAUAAAAGGGGUACUUGCCAACUCUAUUUAUUUAUUUUGCAGGAAAUCUUUCGGUCUAUUCAUGUUAAGGUAGUACAAAAAAACAACAGAAGUAAAAAAAAUACAUCUAGAUUCGUAGAGCAUCUAGCGAUGAGCACAAGCACUAGAGUGAGCCGAAGGCACACCGCCGUCAUCGUUUCUCCCUCACCGGAGCCGGACAAACCUUUUUGUAGUAGACAACCGGGAAGUUGUCGUGCUAAGGCCUCAUAGGACCAGCGCACCAGAACAUCAACCACCGUCGAUGAAGAGAGAAGUAUAGAUCAAAAGAAUCCAAUCUAUAGAAACACGAACAUGGACGAACCACCGGAUCCAAGCGGAUCCACCGAAGGCAAAUGCCGACCGAAUCCCGCGGGAUCCGCUGGAGAAAAAUCUCCACACGCCCACCAACGAAGCUAGAAGCAUUGUCGGGACAAGCGAGAGAGUCCUGGAUUAAGGGGUCCUCGGACAGCCGGACUAUAUACUUUAGCCGGACUGUUGGACUAUGAAGAUACAAGAUUGAAGACUUCGUCCUGUGUUCGGAUGAGACUCUCCUUUGCGUGGAAGGCAAGCUUGGAUAUUCGGAUAUGUAGAUUUCCUUCUCUGUAACCGACUCUGUGUAACCCUAGCCUCCUCCGGUGUCUAUAUAAACCGGAGGGUUUAGUCCGUAGGACAAGAACAAUCAUAAUCAUAGGCUAGCUUCUAGGGUUUAGCCUCUACGAUCUCGUGGUAGAUCAACUCUUGUAAUACUCAUAUCAUCAAGAUCAAUCAAGCAGGAAGUAGGGUAUUACCUCCAUCAAGAGGGCCCGAACCUGGGUAAAACAUCGUGUCCCCUGCCUCCUGUUACCAUUAGCCUUAGACGCACAGUUCGAGACCCCCUACCCGAGAUCCGCCGGUUUUGACACCGACAUUGGUGCUUUCAUUGAGAGUUCCACUGUGCCGUCGCUGUAAGGCUUGAUGGCUCCUUCGAUCAUCUUCAACGAUGCGGUCCAGGGGGAGGUUUUCCUUCCCGGACAGAUCUUCGUAUUCGGCGGCUUCGUACUACGGGCCAACUCGCUUGGCCAUCUGGAGCAGAUCGAUAGCUACGCCCCUGGCCAUCAGGUCAGGUUUGGAAGCUUAAACUAUACUGCCGACAUCCACGGAAACUUGAUCUUCGACGGAUUCGAGCCCAUGACAGGUGCGUCGAACAGUCACGGCGGGCAUGACCUUGAUCUGCCGUCGGGCAAUAUUUGGGAGAUCGCGCCUGCGGUGGCACCGGGAAUCAAUCCGGAGCAGUUCCUGCCUUCCAAGGGCGGGUGGAUGGACCCCGCCACGGAAGCCACACACUCAUCGGCGUCGGAGCCGAACACUGACGCCACCUCCUAUGAGGGUAGUGUCAUCGGACCCUCGGACUCGUCUCCGGCCACAGGAUCCGAACCGCGUGCAUCCGUGCCUAUCGAAUCUGAUUGGGCACCGGUCAUGGAGUUCACCACCGCGGAUAUUUUUCAGCACUCGCCCUUAUGUGAUGUGCUGAACUCAUUAAGGUCUCUUUACUUGUCACGAGAUUCUUGGCCGAACUAUGUCCGGCUCAAGUGGGGAGCGGAAGACGAAGAAAUUCGUCCCCCACCCACCACCCACUUUAUAGCCACUGUCGAUGACUUAACCGACAUGCUUGACUUCGACUCCGAAGACAUCGGUAUGGACGAUGAUGCAGGAGAAGAACAGGAACCACCACCUAUAGGGCGCUGGACAGCCACCUCAUCAUAUGAUAUUUAUAUGGUGGACACCCCUAAAGAAAACAAUGGCGAUGAGGCAACGGAAGAUAACCCCUUGGGGAAGCAAUCUAGACACCGGCGUCAUCGGCGCCGCUCCAAGCCCCGCCAUAGCAAAAGUAGUGAUGCCGGCACAAGAGAUAACAAUCCGGAUGGUGCCGAAGACGAAGGCAAUCCUGCCCAACCAGGCUUCGAGCAGGCCGAGCAAGAGGAUGGGCAAGCUAGCCCUAAAGAACAGGCAACUGAUGGAGUAUCAGAGGAUGAUAAUUACAUGCCUCUCUCCGAAGACGAAGUGAGCCUUGGCGACGAAGAAUUCAUCGUGCCUGAGGAUCCCGUCGAGCAGGAGCGCUUCAAACGCCGGAUUAUAGCCACUGCAAAAAGCUUGAAGAAAAAGCAGCAACAGCUUCAAGCUGAUCAAGAUCUGCUAACUGACAGAUGGACCGAGGUCCUGGCUGCCGAGGAAUACAGACUGGAACGCCCUAGCAAAAGCUACCCAAAGCGCAGGCUGCUACCUCAACUCGAGGAGGAGGCUUUAAAACCCACGCCACCAGCGCAUGAUGCGGCUGACCGGCCACCCCGUGGCCGCGACAAAACGGCGUACCAGCCCGAAGUCCAGACCGCACCCCGUGGCCAAUCAAACAAUAACACUAAGGCCCGGGGCUACACGAAGGACCUGCGAGAUGUAUUGGAAAACAAAGCAGGCAGUCGAGAUCGAUCUACGGAUCACGGGGGGCGCCACAAGACGUGACGAUGACCGUCACGCCGGAUACAAUAAACCAAAGUCCGUCCGGGCCGAAUACAAUAGACCGGAUUCAUUUGAAACACGUCGGGAUGUAGCCCGGUAUAGAGGCGCCGCACACCCCCUAUGCUUCACUGAUGAAGUUAUGGAUCAUGAAUUCCCCGAAGGGUUUAAACCCGUAAACAUUGAAUCAUAUGAUCGCACAACAGACCCCGCGGUAUGGAUCGAAGAUUUUCUUCUCCACAUCCACAUGGCCCGCAGCGAUGACUUGCAUGCCAUAAAGUACCUACCACUUAAGCUCAAAGGACCGGCUCGACAUUGGCUCAAUAGCCUGCCCGCAAGCUCCAUUGGUAGUUGGGAGGAUCUGGAAGACGCGUCCUCGAUAACUUCCAGGGCACUUUACGUGCGACCACCGGAUGCUGAUGACUUAAGUCACAUAACCCAGCAGCCCGAAGAGUCAGCCAGGAAAUUCUGGACUCGGUUCCUAACUAAAAAGAACCAAAUUGUCGAUUGUUCGGAUGCCGAAGCCUUAGCGGCCUUCACACACAACAUCCGUGACGAAUGGCUCGCCCGACAUCUCGGCCAAGAGAAGCCAAAGUCCAUGGUAGCCCUCACGACACUCAUGACCCGCUUCUGCGCGGGUGAGGACAGCUGGCUGGCUCGAAGCAACAACACACCCAAAAACUCAGGCGAUUCAGAUGUUAGGGAUAGCAACGGCAGGCUGCAACGGAAUAGACACAAGCGUCGCAGUAAUGGCGACAACGCCGAAGACAUGGCAGUCAAUGCCGGAUUCAGAGGCUUUAAAUCCGGACAGCGGAAAAAGCCAUUCAAAAGAAACAGUCCGGGCUCGUCCAGUUUGGACCGCAUACUCGAUCGCUCAUCUCAAAUUCACGGCACCCCCGAUAAACCAGCCAACCACACCAACAGGGAAUGUUGGGUGUUUAAAUAGGCCGGCAAGUUGAAUGUCGAAAACAAGGAAAAGGGGCUGCAUAGCGACGACGAGGAGGAGUCCCGACCACCGAACAUGGGAGGACAGAAGACAUUCCCUCCCCAGGUGAAAACAGUGAACAUGAUAUACGCAACCCAUAUCCCCAAGCGGGAACGGAAGCAUGCACUAAGGGACGUCUAUGCGAUGGAGCCAGUCGCCCCAAAAUUUAACCCAUGGUCCUCUUGUCCGAUCACUUUCGAUCGCAGGGACCAUCCUACCAGUAUCUGUCAUGGCGGUUCAGCCGCAUUGGUCCUUGACCUCAUCAUCGACGGAUUCCAUCUCACACGAGUCCUCAUGGACGGUGGCAGUAGCCUUAACCUGCUCUAUUAGGAUACAGUGCGCAAAAUGGGCAUCAACCCCUCAAGGGUCAAGCCCACAAAAACCACCUUCAAGGGUGUCAUACCCGGUGUGGAGGCCUGUUGCACGGGCUCAAUCACAUUGGAAGUGUUCUUCAGAUCUCCGGACAAUUUCCGAAGCGAGGAGUUAAUCUUCGACAUCGUCCCCCUUUCGCAGUGGCUACCAUGCACUUCGGACGAACCACAUUCGCCAAAUUCAAUGCGGUACCACAUUAUGCAUACCUCAAGCUCAAAAUGCCAGGACCUCGCGGGGUUAUCAAAGUUAAUGGAAACACAGAGCGCUCGCUCCGCACGGAGGAGCACACUGCGGCCCUCGCGGCGGAAGUACAAAACAACCUUCUUAGGCAAACAGCCAACUCAGCGAUAAAUAACCCGGAUACCGUCAAGCGAGUCCGGAUUACUCUGUAACAGGAUCAUCCGGCACGUCCAGAGCUCGACUAGCAAUCUGGCCUCUGCACCAGUCCGAGUCAAACGGCGAAAUUUGUGCCGCGUGUACACAACUACACACUUAAAAUACCCUGGGCAUAGGUGGAGGCACGGCCAUAACACGGUCCACAAUGCAGUUCAACCGCCCCAGGACACACUCAUUUUUGCACCCCUCUUCCUUUCAGGUCCCUAUCUUUAGGAGGCUCGUCCGAAAGACCAGCUAUCGGACACAUAGCGGGACGGACACACCAGGAGGACAAGAAGCUUUGGCGUACGAGGGAAUCCUCAGGUGGUCUCUGAUAACGAUCGUUAUACCUGUUUUACAUACCCGCAUACCGCCCACUGUCGGUGUCAAAACCGGCGGAUCUCGGGUAGGGGGUCCCGAUCUAUGCGUCUAAGGCUGAUGGUAACAGGAGGCAAGGGACACGAUGUUUUACCCAGGUUCGGGCCCUCUCGAUGGAGGUAAAACCCUACUUCCUGCUUGAUUGAUCUUGAUGAUAUGAGUAUUACAAGAGAUGAUCUACCACGAGAUCGUAUAGGCUAAACCCUAGAAGCUAGCCUAUGAUGAUUAUGAUUGUCCCUCUAUGGACAAAACCCUCUGGUUUAUAUAGACACCGGAGGGGGCUAGGGUUUACAUAGAGUCGGUUACAAAGAAGGAGAUCUAAUAUCUGGAUCGCCAAGCUUGUCUUCCAUGCAAAGGAGAGUCCCAUCCAGACAUGGGACAAAGUCUUGAGUCUUGUAUCUUCACGGUUCAACAGUCCGGCCAAACUAUAUAGUCCGGCUGUCCGGAUACCCCCUAAUCCAGGACUCCCAUAAUAGCCCCUGAACUAGGCUUCAAUGACGAUGAGUCCGGCGCAUAGAUUGUCUUCGGCAUUGCAAGGCGGGUUCCAUCUCCGAAUACUCCAAAGUACCUGUUGUAACGAACAGUGUCCGGCUUCCCAUCAAUGUUGUAAUCCUCGACUUCUGUCCUUCAAUAAUGGCCAUCUCCACGUGUCGAGAGAAUACGAGGAGCCGGAGCAUUUUCACAUUUGCCACCCCGGCCCUGCAGGCAAACCGUCUAUUUGAAGGAACGGGGAUCCUCAUAUCCAAACCUCACUUUCUUCCCUUGAGCGAGCAUCCAACAGAGUGCGCCCGGAAAAAACCAUUCCAACAUGGCCGGCCGUCACAGCUUCUCUUCUCGCUCCCUUAGCUCUAAGCCAGGUGAUUGGGAAGAGUGUUCUAUUCCCCAUAGCCAUUUAGUAGAGUUGCAGACCCAAGGGUUUCUUCUGCCGGUGUUCAUGGUCCCCGUUCGAACCGGACUAGCCACUUAUGAUGGCGGGGAGCAAGCGGAGAGAUUUCCUAGCCCAUCUCAGGGGGAGCGAGUAUGCCUCAUCCCAUAUUUGCUAAGAGGCGUCGGGUUUCCAAUCCACCCAUUCCUUCGCGGGCUCCUGGAGUUCUAUGGCCUCCAGUUGCACAACUUCACCCCCGCCUCCGUGAUGCACAUCGCAGGAUACGUUGCCCUUUGUGAAUUAUUUCUGGGCUGCGAGGCUCACUUCGAGUUAUGGAAGAAGUUAUUCUGCCUCGUCCCUCGCAACCAGGGGAAAUCCUUAUGUCAAGUGGGCGGAGCCGAAAUAUGGCGCGUCGCCGAGACCGGAUACCUGUCCGAUACUCCCAAGAAGGCAUCUGAAAACUGGCCCUCGGAGUGGUUUUAUGUUGAUGACGUUCCCCUUCUGGAUCCAAUCCGGACGGGCCUCCCUGAGUUCAAUAAUGCUCCGCCGAAGACACGCCGAAGUUGGCGCCCUCGGGGCCCCCAAGAGGAAGAUACCAGAGAAGUCCACUUCCUGAUGAGCAGGAUAAAGACACUGGCCAAAUCAGGGCUAACAAUAGUCGAGGUUAUAGCAAUAUGCAUAAUGCGGGGGGUGCAGCCACUUCAAUAUUGGGGGAAGCCCAUGUGGCACUUCAAUGGGGAAGAUGAUGCCACCCGCUGUGGUCGUAAAGGUCUGGACUCCGCCACUGCUCUGGCGAGAAUACUGUCCGGUUUGUAUAAAGGAGAAGAAGAAGAAUUCCUUCGUAUUAAACCGCGGGAUGGAUUUUCCAUGUACAACCCCCCAAGCUGGGUAAGUCGUCACUCCUUCCCCCACUCUAUUCAUUCUGGCGCUCUUCAUCACAAUCAUUUACCUCGAUAUUUCUGAGCGGGAACUGAGGAGGGCCAUGGAAGGAUUUAACAGCCCCUCCCCGCAGCCAGAGGACUCCGGAAGGGCCUUCGAUCCAGGACUUGAAUAAGAUCCGGAUAUAUCUGUGGAGCUUGUCAAUGGGACAUUUUAUCAGGCCAGCUGCGAUGGCGCCUCGAUGGCUAUUGUCGCCGACUAUCCCGGACUGCUACCUGCGUCGCGCGUAAGCAAAGCCGAAACCUUAUCCUAUGAAGAGGACUCCUUUCUUAUACCAUGCCUUAUGCAUAAAAUAUCGUAUUUUUAUAGAGACGACCAUCGGAACGCGGCGCCGAGCCCCUGGGGGCUCAUCGGCAAAGGGCGUUUGGGUCAGGCAGGCUUAAGAGGAAGGCAGUUAGGGCCGAAAUGCCAUUACAGAGGUAUGGUAAAAAACCUGCUCUGUAAUUAUCGUGUUUGAAAUGUAACAACGUCCUUCGUAUUCUGGCAGAAAGAAGAGUCGCCAGACUAUAUGCGGAGAUCCUGCCGGUCACGGCUCUACCAGCCGGAUUCCAGAACCGGCUUCGAGAGAGGAGGCCGAUGCGGGGCCGAUGCCGAAUUGUCCUCCGACAGAGGAUGCGGAUAUGCUCUUUGCCACAAAUUCCUAAGUAGAGAGUGCCAUGAAUCACCGGCGUCGACGGGCCGUACUUCGCAAUAGCAUCUUUUCCAAAGAGGCAUUUAAUGCUUCCAAUUCGGGAGAUGCAUACAUCCAAGCUGCUCAAGGCGGGCUCGCCCGAGCGACAUACCAGUAUGCAAAAGAUAUACGGGUAAGGAAAUUUGAUAAACAUGUAUAGAAGUAGCCCCUGAGACUUGAAAUGGUUGGAACAACUGACUUAAGGAUCAUUUUAUGCACAAUUUCUUGUAGAGAAGAAUACCCAAUUGUCUCAAGAGCUGGAGGAGUGCUAGACCCAGCUGAGGGCCACGGUUGCCAAACUAGAGGAAUCCCAUAAGGCCUUAUCUGGUAACGUUUGUCUCAAUAGAGAAAUCUUAACGGAAUAUACCAGUUAGGAAUUGGCUUGCUUCAUAAGUCUAACAGAAAAUUAUGCAGACAAUCUCGGGACGAAUCCGGAGAUCGUAAGAGAUAGCGAGUCGCAUCUCCAAAGAUAGUUGAAGGCUGGCGAGCGUGUGCUUACGCAGGUUAGGCAGGAGAAAAGCAAUCUCCAAGAUGCCAACGUCCGGCUGGGCGUCGAAUUAUCAGAUGUUCGAGCUCAGUUGGCGGACUCCGUGGAGGAGAACAGAAGGCUUCGUCGCGGCAUUUAUGGUAAGUGCCUAAACGAACUGCAGUAUACUUCGGCGAGGAAGCAUAUUAAAAGAGUUUAUAUCCGUAGGUAUGUUAACGGGCCGUCCUGAAGAGGAGAUGCUCGGGUCCGCAGGCGAUUUACUGCAAGACCUCUCACAGCUACACGAACGAGUUCGGCAGGUGAUGCAAGGUAUUGCCCAGGCCUUGUGGCCAUCCACUUCCCUGCCAAGAGGCAUGGGGGAGCUCGUGGAUAUGCUCCAAGGAGCACGGCAAUGCUUCCGGUUGUGGAAGAUGUCAGCCUGCCGACAAGGUGCAAGGGAAGCCUGGGCCAUGGUGAAGACGCGCUACACCAAGCUUGACCCGAACCAUAUGGCCGAAGUCGGACCGGCGGGGCCAGAUAGGCAAGAAAUUCCCGUGAGUCUGGUGUAUGACCAGGUAGCGUUAGCCGCAAAGUAUUCCCAACAGGAUUGCAAGCUAGAUAGCCUGUUGAACGGUAUAGAGGAAGAAUAUAGUCAGUCCAAGUGACUAUGUAAUUCAAUGGACAUAUGUAGUCCCUAGCCGGAUUAAAAAUCAUUUGUCAUGGCGGACCUUUUUGCUUCAGCCCCCGGAUCCGACAGUCCGGGGUGUAUCCGAAUACCCGCUCAGUUAUGCAGAACCGGGUAUGCGUAGGGGUCAUAAGUGCUUGAACAGACAAGUACCCAACUAGUUAUGUUAUAUUACAUGGGUAUUAAGAAACAUCUUCCAGGGAGAAUAGUUUCGUUAGGGGUUCCUUUCCCUAGGUACGCAUGCAUCGAUGUACAUGUCCGGACUGCGAACAGAAACACAGGAUACAAAACUUCUGGGGGUUCACGUUGUAAUAGACGAGAGAAACAUCUUUUGUUCACCGACCGAAUAUUCCCUUAAGAACGCUAGCUUUCGGCUUCACCCAGUCUGAGGUACACAUCCGGCUUAACCGACAGUAACAAUUGCAGAGGUGCUCCCCUUAUGCCCUAGCCGAAUUAACGGGAACGUAGGGCAUAAACACAAGAGCCAAGAAACCCAGCAUGGCCACAUCUUAAGUCAUAUCGAUGCAUGUAAUGGUGAAGAAAAGGCACAUAUGGGAAAAGAACGCAUAUGUGAUAGGCAAGAAGCCAUGAAAGUAAUUAUAUUUAGCUUCCGUAUAGGGAGCCCCCAGGUAUGGUUUACACACAUGGUGCGGCCGGAGUGAUCCGAGCAUCCACACUGAAUUGAAUACUUUGUGUGAAGAAGGGAAAAAGGGCGAGAAAGGAAAAAGGGGAGGAACAUAAUUAAAAGAGCGGGGGUAAGGAGACGAACACUGAGUUCGGCACUAGGCGUAGAAUCUCCGGAGUCUGGCCGCGUUCCAUGGGUUCGGCUCGAGUCUAUUAUUGGAUGCAUUAUGCAGGCGGUACGCUCCUCUGGUGAGAACUUUAUCAAUAAUGAAGGGACCCUCCCACUUAGGUUUGAGCUUUUCCUUCUUCUUCUCCGGUAGGCGUAGAACGAGUUCGCCAACAUUAUAAGUUUUGGCCGCACUUCUCUACUUUGAUACCGUCGAGCCUGCUGCUGAUAGAAUGCGGAACGGGCUUUUGCAACGUCGCGCUCCUCCUCCAGGGCAUCUAAGUUGUCCAGCCGAUCUAACUCGGCUUCCUUCUCUUCGUACGUGCGCACGCGAGGUGAGUCGUGGAUUAUGUCGCAGGGUAGUACUGCUUCUGCGCCGUACACCAUAAAAAAUGGUGUGUAUCCGGUGGUGCGAUUCGGCGUGGUCCGCAGCCCCCAGAGUACGGAGUCGAGCUCCUCGACCUAGUGCGUGUCUGAUUUUGUCAAGGACCGCACUAGUCUGGGUUUGAUGCCUCUCAUGAUGAGACCGUUUGCAUAUUCGACCUUGCCAUUUGUUUGGGGAUGGUAGACGCAGGCGUAAAUGAGCUUAAUGCCCAUGUUGCCGCACCAAGUUUUCACUUCAUCAGCUGUGAAGUUUGAGCCAUUGUCAGCGAUGAUGCUGUGGGGGACACCGUAACGCUGUACAACCCCUGAUAUGAAGUCUAUCACUGGUCCGGAUUCGGCCGUUUUAACUGGUUUGGCUUCUAUCCAUUUGGUGAACUUGUCCACCAUGACCAAUAAGUAUUUUUUCUUAUGGCUUCCCCCUUUAAGGGGUCCGACCAUAUCUAGCCCCCAGACCGCGAAGGGCCAAGCAAUGGGGAUUGUUUGGAGAGCGAUAGGGGGAAUAUGGCUCUGAUUGGCAAAGAGCUGGCAACCGAUGCAGUGUUGGACAAGGUCCUGUGCAUCUGCUCGGGCUGUCGGCCAAAAAAACCUGCACGGAAGGCCUUGCUGACAAGUGCCCGAGCCGCAGCGUGGUGCUCGCCGAGUUCGGCGUGGAUUUCAGCCAAGAGCUGCCUCCCUUCCUCUUCGAAGAUGCAUCUUUGGAGCACUCCGGUUGCACUUUUCUUAUAGAGUUCUCCCUCAUGGACUUUGUAGGCCUUGGAACUCCGCACAGUACAAUGUGCUUCAUUUUGGUCCUCGGGCAGCUCCUGCCUAUUUAGGUAGGCUAAGAAAGGCUCGGUUCACGAGGCGAUUACAUCCAUGAUUUCGUGGGCUGAAGGUGUUAUUUCGGUGGCGGAGCCCCCGAUUACAUCAGAUGGUUCGGAAUCCGGGGUUGUAUUCGGAUCCGGGCUAGUGUUGCCGGAAUCCCCUUCCCAUACCACGGAUGGCUUGAACAGCCUUUCCAGGAAUAUGUUUGGUGGGACAGGGUUGCGUUUAGCGCUGAUGCGGGCGAGGAUAUCCGCCGCUUGAUUGUUUUCUCGAGCCACAUGGUGGAAUUCGAGCCCCUCGAACAAAGCUGACAUUUUGAGGACGGCGUUGCGGUAGGCCGCCAUUUUCGGAUCCUUGGCAUCAAAAUCUCCAUUUAUUUGUGAUAUUGCGAGGUUUAUGUCCCCGCGCACCUCCAGGAGUUGAAUGCCCAUAGAGACUGUCAUCCGAAGACCAUGCAACAGAGCCUCGUAUUCGGUUGCAUUGUUGGAGUCUGUGUAUAAUAUUUGGAGUAUGUAUUGGACCGUGUCUCCGGUGGGGGAUGUCAGGACUACACCCGCUCCCAAUCCGGCCAGCAUUUUAGAGCUGUCGAAGUGCAUGAUCCAAUUGGAGUACGCGGGUGUCUGAUCCGAUCUAACGCCCAGGGGCAGAGGAGCUUCCAAGCUUGGCAGCUCGGGCUCCGGCUCUAAAAUGCAAUUAAAUUCGCUUGGGUCAAUAGUUGGGUUCCAUCUUCGAUCGCGGAUCCGGCCCGGUUUUCGGCUCUAAAAUUGCAGCGGCGCCAUAAUCGUGUGAGAUGGAACCCACAAACUAUUGGGUCGAUGGUAAGUGCAAUUAAAUUGCUAUGGUUGAUAUUGUCCGGACGGUCUAUGUGAUUGGAGAUGAUCGGCUCUAUUUUUGUACUGCGGAGGUUCUUCCUUUGACCUCGCCAUGUUUGGUGGUCUGACCUUCUCGUUGUUUGAGACCUCCUUUCAUUGUUUUUGGCACAUAACCGGCCGUUUUGUUUUGAGGAUCCGGCAUUCUCUAUUGGUAUGCUUGGCCGCCAUUCUAGGGGUACCAUGAAUUUGACAUGGUUGGUCCAGUAUGCUGCCCGGGCCGGAUGGGCCUGAGCUGUUCUUUUUCCGCUGACCGGACUGGGGGCCGCGGAAUUCGGCACCAACUCCCUUGUCUUGGUCGUCAUCAUUAUUUUUGUGACGCUUAUGUCUGUUGCAUCGAGGUUUAUGGAUGCUGCCUCGCGUUUCCUACGUAUUGCCUCGGACCAUGGUGUAUUGGCGUCGGGGUGUGGGCUUUAGGACCUCCUUCUUAGGUUGAGGUAGCGAAUUGUGUUUUGUGUACCCUUUGGUGGGGCGGUCGAGUCCGUAUUCCUUGGUUGCCAGGACCUUGGUCCAUCUGUCUGUGAGCAAAUGUUGGUCAGCUUUGAGCUGUUGUUGCUUCUUUUUCAGGCUUUUCACCGUGGCCAUAAGCCGUCGCUUAAAGCGAACUUGCUCUGCAGGAUCCUCGGGCACGCCGAAUUCAUCGUCGCCGAGGCUCACCUCGUCUUCGGAGGGGGGAAUGUAGUUGUCCUCCUCCACAUAUCCGUCCGUCGCCUGUCUGGCUUGCUUGAAGGCAGGCUGAUCGGGAUUGUAUUCAUCUUUGGUACCAUCCAGAUUGUUUUUGACUCCUGUGCCGGUAUUGUUGUGGCGGGGCUUGGAGCGGCGCUGAUGACGCCCAUACUUUGCUUUCUUCCUUGAGGGGUUAUCCUCCAUUGCCUCAUCGCCAUUAGUUUCUUUCGGAGUGUCCAUCAUGUAUAUAUCAUAUGAGGAGGUGGCUGUCCAGCGCCCGUGGGCGGUGGUUCCUGUUCUUCUCCUACAUCGUCGUCCACACCGUCGAUGUCUUCAGAGUCGAAGUCAAGCACGUCGGUCAAAUCAUCGAUCGUGGCAAUGAAGUGGGUGGUGGGUGGGCAACGAAUUCCCUCGUCGCCUGCUUCCCACUCGAGCCGGACAUAGUUCGGCCAAGAGUCUCCUGACAAAGAGAGAGACUUUAACGAGUUCAGCAUGUCGCCAAAGGGCGAGUGCUGGAAGAUAUCCGCAGCAUGAACUCCAUUACCGGAGCCCAACCAGAUUUGGCGGGCUUGGGGGUGCGUGGACUGGAACCUACAGUCGGACACGAGUCCGGGGGUCCGGUGUCACAGGCUUCCUUGGGGGUGGAGUCUAUGCUCGGCUCUACCACCGAUGAGUGUGCGGCCUCCAGGGCAGGGUCCAUCCACCCGUCCUUGGACGACGCGAUCUGCCCCGAAUUUAGGUCCGGAGCUCCUGCAGGUGCGAUAUCCCGAGUAUUGUCCGACAACGGGUCUAAGCCAUGCUCGUCAUGACAGUUCGGCGCUCCUGGCAUAGGCCCGAAUCCGUCGAAGAUCAAGUCUCCGCGGAUAUCAGCCGUGUAGUUCAAGUUUUCGAACCUGACCUGAUUGCCAGGGGCGUAGCUAUCGAUAUGCUCCAGAUGGCCAAGCGAAUUAGCCCGCAGUGCGAAGCCGACGAACACGAAGAUCUGUCCUGGGAGAAAAGUCUCACCCUGGACUGCGUUGUUGUUGAUGAUUGAAGGAGCCAUCGAUCCUUGCAGCGACGACACAGAGGAACUCUCAAUGAAAGCACCAAUGUCAGUGUCAAAACCGGCGGAUCUCGGGUAGGGGGUCCCGAUCUGUGCGUCUAAGGCUGAUGGUAACAGGAGGCAAGGGACAUGAUGUUUUACCCAGGCUCGGGUCCUCUCGAUGAAGGUAAGACCCUACUUCCUGCUUGAUUGAUCUUGAUGAUAUGAGUAUUACCAGAGUUGAUCUACCACGAGAUCGUAGAGGCUAAACCCUAGAAGCUAGCCUAUGAUGAUUAUGAUUAUCCCUCUACGGACAAAACCCUCCGGUUUAUAUAGACAUUGGAGGGGGCUAGGGUUUACACAGAGUCGGUUACAAAGAAGGAGAUCUAAUAUCUGGAUCGCCAAGCUUGUCUUCCACGCAAAGGAGAUUCCCAUCCAGACACGGGACGAAGUCUUGAGUCUUGUAUCUUCACGGUCCAACAAUCCGGCCAAAGUAUAUAGUCCGGCUGUCCGGAUACCCCCUAAUCCAGGACUCCCUCACCCGCUCCUGGUUAGGAUGUGUCAAACAGUCCUAUUCUGCUUAUCGCACUACUUGUAUAUGUAUGCUUUGACAUAUCAUUUGAAUAACAAGGGAAAAUAGUAUACAGUGUCAGCUUUCUAUUAAGUUUAUUUGCCCCUUUUUCUUUACUGCUUAUUUAUUAUACCCGUGCAUUUUGGCACGACCAGUUUGCCAAGGGCUUCAGUACCCCAUAACUUGGCAAGACAAGUCCGAACACUUUCGAUAGUGCGGCACCCCAAACUUAUAGCACUAUAUGCAUCAGCUCUGAAUCAUCUCUUGGGUCAAUAAUUGGGUUUGCCCGGCUCCUAUGUUUUGGUACCUUACGUUCCACUAUAUCGGCUAAGGUAGUGUAGGGAGAACUACUGUGAUUGUGUCCCGGUUCUUCUGGACGAGCACCUCAGUAGAGAAAGUCGAAAGCUGACUGUCAUGAUAAGGCGAGAGCUGGUCGCUGUUCGAGAGGUAUCAAACCCUUAAAGAUUUUUCCCACUUUGGGCGAGGAAUCGGCCUCGUCCGAUUUAGGCGUGUAUAGCGCCCCGAGUCCGGCUUUCCGGAUACUAGGGGCUUCGCCAAAAUUUAAAAUUGUAGACUUCUAUGGCUAUGUGAGGGUGAUAAAGUCGUAUAGUCCGAUUGCCUCGUUUGUGCGCUAAACACCUCCUUAAAAGGAGCAAAAACUUGGAUAAAGAGUGUUUGUAUUUAUCCCGAACACCCCAGUACUAGUUACAUGGGGGCAGAAGCCGACGACUGGCCAACGCUCAAGAUUUUUUUUAAACGGCCGCACAGAAGGUAAUAUUUUAAAUUAACAAGCGCUACAUAGCGCACAUGAACUGGUUUUCAUAAUACAGGAUGACAUGAGUACAUUCAUUCAAAUAUCACAUCCUUAGUACAUUCAUUCGCCACAAGGCGGGCACCCUUAAUGACAUUGUCAUAGUACUGUUCGGGGUGGCGAUGUUCCUUGCCCUUCGACGGCCCCUCUGUCACCAGCUUCUCGGCGUCCAUCUUCCCCCAGUGCACCUUCGCACGGGCCAAGGCCCUGCGUGCACCCUCAAUGCAGACGGACCGCUUAACGACUUCAAGCCACGGACAGGCAUUCACCAUCCGCUUGACAAAGCCGAAGUAGCUGCUGGGUAGGGGCUUGCCAGGCCACAGCCGGACUAUGAAGUCCUUCAUGGCCAGUUCGGCCGCCUUGUGAAGUUCGACCAAUUGCUUUAGCUGGUCGCUCAAGGGCAUCGGGUGCUCGGCCCCUAUAUACUGGGACCAAAACAGCUUCUCCAUCGAGCUCCCCUCCUCAGCCCGGUAGAACUCUGCGGCAUCAGAGAUGCUGCGCGGCAGAUCUGUGAAUGCUCCUGGAGAUAUCCGAAUUCAGGUAAGUAAAAGGAAAGUCUCCUUCACAUGCUUGCUUUGUAUAAUGAAAGCCUUACCCGCAGCUAUUUUCUUGGCCGCCUCAAUUUCCUGGAGGGCCUUCUGGGCUUCGGCCUUGGUGUCUAGUGCGCUCUCACGGGCCUUCGCAAGCUCCGACUCUUGCGUCUUGGAGUCACUCUCCAAGGACUCGAAUUUUUUUAUGAACUCCUGAAGCUCUUGCUGGACCUCAUCAACUCACGCCUCUUGUUUUUCGCGAUCGGUGCGCUCCUUGGCCGCAUUGUUUUCGGCCUCGGACAGCGCCUUCUUAAGGGCCGCCACUUCGGUCGUGGCCCCUAGUAAAAUUUAUCAUGCUUCUAUUAGCAUCCACGAUUUUUUCCUUUAUAUAACAUUCAGACGGGGUAUUGCUUACCUUUGUUCUCCUUGAGCUGCCUCUUCACGAGGCCGAGCUCUUCUUCGGCCCGCCCCAGGCUCUGCCUCAGUCCGGAGACCUCCGCAGUGGCGGCGGCGGCGGCCAGCAGCGACGCCUGCUUAUUCACAAAGACAUAAUAUGAUUAGACUCCUCGGAAUAUUAUUUGAUCCUCUGUCCGGCUUCUCUUCCUGAACACCAAACAGAGCAUCAGGGGCUACUGUCUACACUGUGAUACUUUCUCAUAAUUUAAAAUACUUACCUCAAAGCCUGUCAGGAGGCUGACGCAGGCUUCGGUCAAUCCGCUCUUGGCGGACUGAACCUUCGCAAUCACCGUACUCAUAAGAGUAUGGUGUCCUUCAUCAAGGGAAGCGCUCUGAAGCGCUUCCACCAGGUUAUCCGAUGACUCUGGAUGGACAGAGGUCAUCGGCACAGACGGCUCGCCCCCCUUGACGGAUGGCUGCCUGCCUGAAUCCGGAACCACUGGGGGUUCCGGCGCAGUAUCCGGCUGGAGGCCAAGCCUGCUGCGCCCCCCCUAAUCCGAAUCCAUGGGGAUCUUCCCCCCCAUGAGCCCGGCAUCAGGAGUCUCGCUUUUAGGCAUCUCCAGGACUACCUCCUCCUUACCCGGUAUCCUUUGAGAUAACACCUCGGUGUCAUCCGCGGGCCGGGGAGUGGAAGCCGUUGGGAGCGAAUAGCUAUUCAUCUCCGAUGAGCUCAAGGACCCAUCCGAGGAGGGCAAGUCGAUGUGGGCUUUGGGCGGACUGCACAAGCUAAUCUUGACAUAGUAAGUAAAGCUAAGAACAUGCAAAAGGUAUUAUGCCAUCCGAAUACUUAUGACUUCGCCAGGGGCUUGGCCCUGGGUAGCCACUCCUCCUUGCUAUAGGCGGCAGUUCUGGAAUGGUCCGGAGGGAGGGUCCUUGCCUUCUUGCACCCUCCGGCCUCCCUGGAAGGGGCGGCCUUUCUUUUCUUCCCCCCCCCCCCCCCCAGUCUGGGGGAGAGGGCUUUCCUCCUUCUCCUUGUUGUUGUUGGAGGAGUGCGCCUCGGUGUCUUCGGACUAUGAGUCCGGCACCAACUUUCGCCGGAGACUUUUCCUGGUCCCCGUGGCCUUCUUCUUGGCCUUUUUCUUCGGCACCUCAUAGGGCGCCGGAACCAGCAUCUCUGUCAGGAGAGCGGUUGCUGGAUCUUCAGGCAAUGGAGCCGGACAGUCGAUCCGCUCCACCAUCGCCACAUAUUCCUGUUAGAUCAGUAUGCUGGCUUAAGUUCCUCCCACGAAUAUGCUGAGGAAAGGCACAUCUUGAGAAAUAUAGAAUGCUUACCGCAUUGGCAUGGCGCUUGGCGCUGAGUCCACGGUCCUCGGAGGUGGGAGGAGGAACUUCGCUGUCCUUGAACAACACCUUCCAGACGUCUUUGUGUGUCAUGUCGAAGAGAUCUUGCGGUGUCUGGUGUUGGGCCGCGUCGAACUCCCACAGGUUGAAUGCCCGUCUUUGACACGGGAGAAUCCGGCGAAAUAGCAUGACCUGGACCACGUUGACAAGCUUGAUAUUCUUGGUUAUCAUGUUCUUGAUGCAGUUCUGGAGUCCGGUCAGCUCCGCGGAUGCGCCCCAGGAUAGGCCCUUCUUCUUCCAGGAGGUGAGCCGCACGGGGAUGCCGGAUCAGAAUUCGGGGGCCGCCACCCAGUUGGCGUCGCGCGCUCGAUGAUGUAGAACCACCCCGAUUGCCACCCCUUCACAGUCUCCACAAAGGAGCCUUCGAGCCAGGUGACGCUGGGCAUCUUGCCCACCAUGGCGCCUCCACACUCCGCCUGCUGGCCGACCACUAUCUUUGGCUUCACGUUGAAGAUCUUUAGCCACAGGCUGAAGUGGGGCCUGAUGCGGAGAAAAUCCUCGCACACGAUGAUAAACACCGAGAUGUUGAGGAUGAAGUUAGGGGCUAGAUCAUGAAAAUCCAGCCCGUAAUAGAACAUGAGCCCGCGGACAAAUGGGUGGAGGGGCAAUCCCAGUCCGCGGAUGAAGUGGGCGAGGAACAUGACCCUCUCAUGGGGUCCUAGAGUCGGAAUGAUCUGCCCUGCAUCCGGGAGCCGGUGCGUAAUGUCUGCGGCCAAGUAUCCGGCAGCCUGGAGCUUCGUAAUGUCCUCCUCCUUGACGGAGGAGGCCAUCCACUUGCCUCCCACUCCGAACAUGUUUGGUUGUGCGGAGAAGGUGAGAACAGGGGCGCUGGAGCUCGAGCGUGCGAGAAUGGAUGAGCGAAGAAGGAAGGAGGCGUGGGUGAAAGAGGAGAAUCCUUAUCUCUUUAUAAAGGCGGUAGAAACUGUGCGCCUCCCCACUUGCCCGUUAAGAUCGCUUAUUUCCCAAGCGCCACGAUUGAUGGCGCGGUUGGGUUACCCAUACCCGUAUUGAUGAGAAUCCCGUGAUAAGGGGACACGAUCUAUGCUUCGACAAGAGCGUCAAGGAAACCGCCUUGCAUUACAUUCAAUGGUUGGUCGUGAAAAACGGUUCAAAUAAUGACCGGACCAUGGCAUGAUGUCACGCUAUAAAAAGCUGUUAGCAGAUUAGAUUUGUGGAAUAUUAUACUCUUUAUGGUGGAAUGUGGAAUUUGUUUUGCAGAGUCGGACACGAUCCUUGUGUCCUAAAUCUUCUAUGGAGUAUUCGGAGAAGGAACCCGCCUUGCAAUGCCGAAGAAAAUCUGCGCGCCAGAAUCAUCGUCAUUGAAGCCUUCAGGGGCUACUGAGGGAGUCCUGGAUUAAGGGGUCCUCGGAUAGCCGGACUAUAUACUUUGGCCGGACUGUUGGACUAUGAAGAUACAAGAUUGAAGACUUGUCCCGUGUCCGGAUGGGACUCUCCUUUGCGUGGAAGGCAAGCUUGGAUAUUCGGAUAUGUAGAUUUCCUUCUCUGUAACCGACUCUAUGUAACCCUAGCCUCCUCCGGUGUCUAUAUAAACCAGAGGGUUUAGUCCGUAGGACAAGAACAAUCAUAAUCAUAGGCUAGCUUCCAGGGUUUAGCCUCUACGAUCUCGUGGUAGAUCAACUCUUGUAAUACUCAUAUCAUCAAGAUCAAUCAAGCAGGAAGUAGGGUAUUACAUCCAUCGAGAGGGCCUGAACCUGGGUAAAACAUCGUGUCCCCUGCCUCCUGUUACCAUUAGCCUUAGACGCACAGUUCGGGACCCCCUACCCGAGAUCCGCCGGUUUUGACACCGACAACAAGGGCUAGGCGGGGAGAACAUUAUUCCAUCUUUAGGAGCCGCCGCUGCCUCUACUGUUUGAGCGGGACACAAGCCCUAACAAAGCUUAAGAAAACAUCUAAAAACCGAGUCCUCCCAUCAACAAGGGUUGAGAUCGCGGCGCAGGGAACCCUAGGGGAGCCGCUUGACCCUUCCCCCCACCUCCACCCCUCCCUCCCCCCUCCCUUCCUCCUUCCCUCGUAACCCCCGCGUCGCCUCCCCGAGCGAGGCGACCGGGGGCCUCGUCCCCGACUCACCUCCGCGCUCCCUUUCCCUCCUCCCUCCCCCCGCCGCCGUCGGCGGGCAUCGGGCCCUGCCGCGUGGUGCUGGCGGCGUUGGGCCAGUCCUUCCCCGCGUGCGGCCUCCCCUGCUCGGGCGGUGGUGGCUGGCUGCGAUGUGCUUCGGUCGGCCUUGGUGUGGCCCGGCGGUGGUGCUGCUGCGUGCCGUGGUGCCCUUGACGUGACGAUGCGGCCGUUAGCCGUGGGGCGGCGCGGUGGUGCUGGUGGCUGGUGGCGCCCGCCCACCCCAGAUCUGGGCCCAUUAGAACCCCAUCUGGGUUGGGGCGGGCCGAUGGCUCGGCGUUCGGCAGCGGCGCUUCCUGGCGGUGGAGAGGUGGUGGUGGUCUGCGGGCGGUGAGGACUUCGUCGAUCCACGAGCUGCAGCAUGGUGGUAGGACUAUCCGGGUCCACGUGGACCCGGCCGGGCCGUCAGGGCCCGGCAAGUCCUUGUCGCCGCGUCUGGUCAGCUAUGCUGUGGCGGUGGAGGUUGUCCCCUCCUUCCAGUCGAGUUGUGCUCGCUCCCAUGACCGGUGUCGCCUUUCCUGAAGGAAAUAUGCCCUAGAGGCAAUAAUAAAGUUGUUAUUUAUAUUUCCUUAUAUCAUGAUAAAUGUUUAUUAUUUAAGCUAGAAUUGUAUUGACCGAAAACUUAGUACAUGUGUGAAUACAUAGACAAAAUAGGGUGUCCCUAGUAUGCCUCUACUUGACUAGCUCGUUAAUCAAAGAUGGUUAAGUUUACUAACCAUAGACAUGAGUUGUCAUUUGAUGAACGGGAUCACAUCAUUAGAGAAUGAUGUGAUGGACAAGACCCAUCCGCUAGCCUAGCAUAAUGAUCGUUUAGUUUUAUUGCUAUUGCUUUCUUCAUGACUUAUACAUAUUCCUCUGACUAUGAGAUUAUGCAACUCCCGAAUACCGGAGGACACCUUGUGUGCAAUCAAACGUCACAACGUAACUGGGUGAUUAUAAAUAUGCUCUACAGGUGUCUCCGAAGGUGUUUGUUGAGUUGGCAUAGAUCAAGAUUAGGAUGUGUCAUUCCGAAUAUCGAAGAGGUAUCUCUGGGCCCUCUCGGCAAUGCACAUCACUAUAAGCCUUGCAAGCAAUGUGACUAAUGAGUUAUUUGUGGGAUGAUGCAUUAAGGAAUGAGUAAAUAGACUUGCCGACAACGAGAUUGAACUAGGUAUAAUGAUACCGACGAUCGAAUCUCGGGCAAGUAACAUACCGAUGACAAAGGGAAUGGCGUAUGUUGUUAUGCGGUUUCACCGACAAAGAUCUUCAUAGAAUAUGUAGGAGCCAAUAUGAGCAUCUAGGUUCCGCUAUUUGUUAUUGACCAGAGAUGUGUAACGGUCAUGUCUACAUAGUUCUCAAACCCGUAGGGUCCGCACGCUUAACGUUCGAUGACGAUUUGUAUUAUGAGUUAUGUGUUUUGGUGACUGAAGUUUGUUCGAAGUCCCGGAUGAGAUCACGGACAUGACGAUGAGCUUCCAAAUGGUCGAGAGGUAAAGAUUCAUAUAUUGGAAGGUUAUAUUCGGACAUCAUAAUGGUUUCGAGUUAUUCGGGUAUUUUUCCGGAGUACCGAGGGGUUACCGGAACCCCCCGGGGAAGUGUUGGGUCAACAUGGGCCUAAGGGAGAGAGAGGGGAGCCCACGGGGGGUGGCCACAUGCCCCCUCCUAGGGAGUCCGAAUAGGACAAGGAGGAGGGGGCGGCCCCUUCCCUUUCCCUCUCCCUCUCCUUCCUAUUCCCUCCGGUGGAUAAAGGAAAGGGGGGGGAGAAUCCUACUUGGACUAGGAGUCCAAGUAGGACUCUCCCCAUGGCACGACCCUCCUGGCCUCCGGCCUCUCUCCCCCCUCCUUUAUAUACGUGGGCAGGGGGCACACCAAGAUUUCUCUUACCCGUGUGCGGUGCCCCUCUCCAUAGUUUACUCAUUCGGUCAUAGCGUCGUAGUGCUUAGGCAAAGCCCCACGCGGAUCACAUCAGCAUCACCGUCGCCACAUCAUCAUGCUGACGGAACUCUCCCUCGACCCUCUACUGGAUCAAGAGUUUGAGGGAUGUCAUCGAGCUGAACGUGUGCCGAACAUGGAGGUGCCGUAUGUUCGGUACUUGGAUUGGUUGGAUCGUGAAGACGUUCGACUACAUCAACCGCGUUAACUUAACACUUCCGCUUUCGGUCUACGAGGGUACAUGGACACACUCUCCCCCUCCCGUUGCUAUGCAUCUCUUAGAUAGAUCUUGCGUGAUCGUAGGAAUUUUUUUGAAAUUGCAUGCUACGUUCCCCAACAGUGGCAUCCGAGCCAGGUCUAUGCGUAGAUGAUAUGCACGAGUAGAACACAAAGAGUUGUGGACGAUAAUAGUCAUACUGCUUACCACCAAUGUCUUACUUUGAUUCGGCGGUAUUGUUGGAUGAAGCGGCCCGGACCAACAAUACAUGAACGCGUUCAUGAGACUGGUUCUACCGACGUGCUUCGCACAGAGGUGGUUGGCGGGUGUCUGUUUCUCCAACUUUAGUUGAAUCGAGUUUCACUACGGCCGGUCCUUGUUGAAGGUUAAAACAACACACUUGACGAAAAAUUGGUGUGGUUUUGAUGCAUAGGUAAGAAUGGUUCUUGCUAGAAGCCUGUAGCAGCCACGUAAAACUUGCAACAACAAAGUAGAGUGCGUCUAACUUGUUUUACAGGGCAUGUUGUGAUGUGAUAUGGUCGAGACGUGAUGAGAUAUAAAUUGUUGUAUGAGAUGAUCAUGUUUUGUAAAAGUUAUCAACAACUGGCAGGAGCCUUAUGGUUGUCGCUUUAUUGUAUGAAAUGCAAUUGCCGUGUAAUUCCUUUACUUUAUCACUAAGCGGUAGCGAUAGUCGUAGAAGCAAUAGUUGGCGAGACGACAACGACGCUACGAUGGAGAUCAAGGUGUCAAGCUGGUGACGAUGGAGAUCAUGACGGUGCUUUGGAAAUGGAGAUCAAAGGCACAAAAUGAUGAUGGCCAUAUCAUGUCACAUAUUUUGAUUGCAUGUGAUGUUUAUCUUUUAUGCAUCUUAUUUUGCUUAGUACGGCGGUAGCAUUAUAAGAUCAUCCCUCACUAAAUUUCAAGGUAUAAGUGUUCUCCCUGAGUAUGCACCAUUGUGACAGUUCGUCGUGUCAAGACACCACGUGAUGAUCGGGUGUGAUAUGCUCUACGUUCACAUACAACGGGUGCAAGACAGUUUACACGUGCAGAAUACUCCGGUUAAACUUGGCGAGCCUAGCAUAUGCAGAUAUGGCCUCAGAACACUGAGACCGAAAGGUCGAACGUGAAUCAAUAGUAGAUAUGAUCAACAUAGUGAUGUUCACCAUUGAAAACUACUCCAUCUCACUUGAUGAUCCGACAUGGUUUAGUUGAUAUGGAUCACGUGAUCAUUUAUGUCUAUCUAAGUGGGAGUUCUUAGGUAAUAUGAUUAAUGGAACUUUAAUUUAUCAUGAACUUAGUAUCGGAUAGUUUUUUCCAUAUCUAUGUUGUUGUAGAUCAAUGGCCCAUGCUACCGUUCCCUUGAAUUUUAAUGCGUUCCUAGAGAAAGCUAAGUUGAAAGAUGAUGGUAGCAACUACACGGACCGGGUCCGUAACUUGAGGAUUAUCCUCAUUGUUGCACAGAAGAAUUACGUCCUGGAAGCACCGCUAGGUGCAAGACCCGCUGUAGGAGCAACUCCGGAUGUUAUGAACGUUUGGUAGAGCAAAGAUGAUGACUACUCAAUAGUUCAGUGUGCCAUGCUUUACGGCUCAGAAUCGGGACUUCAAAGACGUUUUGAACGUCAUGGAGCAUAUGAGAUGUUCCAGGAGUUGAAGUUAAUAUUUCAAGCAAAUGCCCGAGGUGAGAGAUAUGAAGUCUCCAACAAGUUCUAGAGCUGCAAAAUGGAGGAGAAUAGUUCUGUCAGUGAACACAUACUCAGAAUGUCUGGGUACCAUAACCACUUGACUCAGCUGGGAGUUAAUCUUCCUGAUGAUAGUGUCAUUGACAGAGUUCUUCAAUCACUGCCACCAAGCUAUAAAAGCUUCGUGAUGAACUAUAACAUGCAAGGGAUGGAAAAGACUAUUCCCAAGCUCUUCGCAAUGCUAAAGGCUGCGGAGGUAGAAAUCAAGAAGGAGCAUCAAGUGUUGAUGGUUAACAAGACCAUUAGUUUCAAGAAAAGGGGCAAGGGAAGAAGGGGAACUUCAAGAAGAAUAGCAAGCAAGUUGCUCCUCCAUGGAAGAAGCCCAAGUCUGGAUCUAAGCCUGAAACUGAGUGCUUCUACUGCAAAGGGACUGGUCACUGGAAGCGGAACUGCCCUAAGUAUUUGGCGGAUAAGAAGGAUGGCAAAGUGAAGCUAUAUUUGAUAUACAUGUUAUUGAUGUGUACCUUACUAAUGCUCGUAGUAGCUCUUGGGUAUUUGAUACUAGUUCUGUUGCUCAUAUUUCCAACUCGAAACAGGGGCUAUGGAUUAAACGAAGAUUGGCCAAGGACGAGGUGACCAUGCGUGUGGGAAAUGGUUCCAAAGUCGAUGUGACCGGCGUCAGCACGCUACCUCUACAUCUACCGUCAGGAUUAGUUUUAGACCUGAAUAAUUGUUAUUUGGUGCCAGCGUUGAGCAUGAACAUUAUAUCUGGAUCUUGUUUAAUGUGAGACGGUUAUUCAUUUAAAUCAAAGAAUAAUGGUUGAUCUAUUUAUAUGAGUAAUAUCUUUUAUGGUCAUGCACCCUUGAUGAGUGGUCUAUUUUUCUUGAAUCUCGAUUGUAGUGAUACACAUAUUCACAAUAUUGAAGCCAAAAGAUGCAAAGUUAAUAAUGAUAGUGCAACUUAUUUGUGGCACUGCCGUUUAGGUCAUAUUGGUGUGAAGCGCAUGAAGAAACUCCAUGCCGAUGGGCUUUUGGAAUCACUUGAUUAUGAAUCACUUGAUGCUUGCGAACCAUGCCUCAUGGGCAAGAUGACUAAAACUCCGCUCUCCGGAACAAUGGAGCGAGCCACUGACUUAUUGCAAAUAAUACAUACUGAUGUAUGCGGUCCGAUGAGUGUUGAGGCUCGCGGUGGGUAUCGUUAUUUUCUGGCCCUCACAGAUUAUUUGAGAAGAUAUGGGUAUAUCUACUUAAUGAAACAUAAGUCCGAAACAUUUGAAAAGUUCAAAGAAUUUCAGAGUGAAGGGGAAAAUCAUCGUAACAAGAAAAUAAAUUUUCUACGAUCUGAUCAUGGAGGUGAAUAUUUGAGUUAUGAGUUUGAUCUUCAUUUGAAACAAUGUGGAAUAGUUUCGCAACUCACGCCACCUGGAACACCACAGCGUAAUGGUGUGUCCGAGCGUUGUAACCGUACUUUAUUAGAUAUGGUGUGAUCUAUGAUGUCUCUUACCGAUUUACCGUUAUCGUUUUGGGUUAUGCUUUAGAGAUGGUUGCAUUCACGUUAAAUAGGGCACCAUCCAAAUCCGUUGAGACGACACCAUAUGAACCGUGGUUUGGCAAGAAACCUAAGCUAUCGUUUCUUAAAGUUUGGGGCUGCGAUGCUUACGUGAAAAAGCUUCAACCUGAUAAGCUCGAACCCAAAUCAGAGAAAUGUGUCUUCAUAGGAUACCCAAAGGAAACUGUUGGGUACACCUUCUAUCAUAGAUCCGAAGGCAAGAUAUUUGUUGCUAAGAAUGGAUCCUUUCUAAAGAAAGAGUUUCUCUCAAAAGAAGUGAGCCAGAGGAAAGUAGAACUUGAUGAGGUAAUUGUACCUUCUCCCGAAUUGAAAACUAGUUCAUCACAGAAAUCAGUUCUAGUGAUUCCUACACCAAUUAGUGAGAAAGCUAAUGAUGAUGAUCAUGAAACUUCAGAUCAAGUUACUACCGAACCUCGUAGGUCAACCAGAGUACGGUCCGCACCGGAGUGGUACGGUAAUCCUGUUCUGGAAGUCAUGUUACUAUACCAUGACCAACCUACGAACUAUGAGGAAGCGAUGAUGAGCCCAGAUUCCGCGAAAUGGCUUGAGGCCAUGAAAUCUGAGAUGGGAUCCAUGUACGAGAAGAAAGUAUGGACUUUGGUUGACUUGCCCGAUGAUAGGCAAGCCAUAGAAAAUAAAUGGAUCUUCAAGAAGAAAAAUGAUGUUGACGGUAAUGUUACAGUCUACAAAGGUCGACUUGUUGCAAAAGGUUUUCGACAAGUUCAAGGGGUUGAUUACGAUGAGACCUUCUCACCCGCUUAAGUCUGUCCGAAUCAUGUUAGCAAUUGCCGCAUUUUAUGAUUAUGAAAUUUGGCAAAUGGAUGUAAAAACUGCAUUCCUUAAUGGAUAUCUUAAAGAAGAGUUGUAUAUGAUGCAACCAGAAGGUUUUGUCGAUCCUAAAGGUGCUACCAAAGUGUGCAAGCUCCAGCGAUCCAUUUAUGGACUGGUGCAAGCCUCUCGGAGUUGGAAUAUACGCUUUGAUUAUGUGAUCAAAGCAUAUGGUUUUAUACAGACUUUUGGAGAAGCCUGUUUUACAAGAAAGUGAGUGGGAGCUCUGUAGCGUUUCUAAUAUUAUAAGUAGAUGACAUAUUUUUGAUUGGAAAUGAUACAUAAUUUCUAGAUAACAUAAAAGGAUACUUGAAUAAGAAUUUUUCAAUGAAAGACCUCGGUGAAGCUGCUUAUAUAUUGGGCAUCAAGAUAUAUAGAGAUAGAUCAAGACGCUUAAUUGGACUUUCACAAAGCACAUACCUUGAUAAAGUUUUGAAGAAGUUCAAAAUGGAUUAGUCAAAGAAAGGGUUCUUACCUGUGUUAUUAGGUGUGAAGUUAAGUCAGACUCAAUGUCCGACCACUGCAGAAGAUUGAGAGAAAAUGAAAGUCAUUCCCUAUGCCUCAGCCAUAGGUUCUAUCAUGUAUGCAAUGUUGUGUACCAGACCUGAUGUGUGCCUUGCUAUAAGUAUAACAGGGAGGUACCAAAGUAAUCCAGGAGAGGAUCACUGUGCAGCGGUCAAGAACAUCCUGAAAUACCUAAAAAGGACUAAGGAUAUGUUUCUCGCUUAUGGAGGUGACAAACAGCUUAUCGUAAAUGGUUACGUCGAUGCAAGCUUUGACACUGAUCCGGAUGACUCUAAGUCACAAACCGGAUACGUAUUUAUAUUGAAUGGUGGAGCUAUAAGUUGGUGCAGUUCCAAGCAGAGCAUCGUGGCGGGAUCUACGUGUGAAGCGGAGUACAUAGCUGCGUCGGAAGCAGCAAAUGAAGGAGUCUGGAUGAAGGAGAUCAUAUCCGAUCUAGGUGUAAUACCUAGUGCAUCGGGUCAAAUGAAAAUCUUUUGUGACAAUACUGGAGCAAUUGCCUUGGCGAAGGAAUCUAGAUUUCACAAGAGAACCAAACACAUCAAGAGACGCUUCAAUUCCAUCCGCGAUCUAGUCAAGGAGGGGGACAUAGAGAUUUGCAAGAUACAUACGGAUCUGAAUGUUGCAGACUCGUUGACUAAGCCUCUUCCACGAGCAAAACAUGAUCAACACCAACACUCCAUGGGUGUUAGAAUCAUUACUAUGUAAUCUAGAUUAUUGACUCUAGUGCAAGUGGGAGACUGGAGGAAAUAUGCCCUAGAGGCAAUAAUAAAGUUGUUAUUUAUAUUUCCUUAUAUCAUGAUAAAUGUUUAUUAUUCAUGCUAGAAUUGUAUUAACCGGAAACUUAGUACAUGUGUGAAUACGUAGACAAAACAGAGUGUCCCUAGUAUGCCUCUACUUGACUAGCUCGUUAAUCAAAGAUGGUUAAGUUUCCUAACCGUAGACAUAAUUGUCAUUUGAUGGACGGGAUCACAUCAUUAGAGAAUGAUGUGAUGGACAAGACCCAUCCGUUAGCCUAGCAUAAUGAUCGUUUAGUUUUGUUGCUAUUGCUUUCUUCAUGACUUAUACAUAUUCCUCUGACUAUGAGAUUAUGCAACUCCCGAAUACCUAAGGAACACCUUGUGUGCUAUCAAAUGUCACAAUGUAACUGGAUGCUUAUAAAGUUGCUCUACAGGUGUCUCCAAAGAUGUUUGUUGAGUUGGCAUAGAUCAAGAUUAGGAUUUGUCACUCCGAAUAUCGAAGAGGUAUCUCUAGGCCCUCUCGGUAAUGCACACCACUAUAAGCCUUGCAAGUAAUGUGACUAAUGAGUUAGUUGAGGGAUGAUGCAUUACGGAACGAGUAAAGAGACUUGCCAGCAAUGAGAUUGAACUAGGUAUAUGCCGGCAAUGAGAUUGAACUAGGUAUAAUGAUACCGACGAUCGAAUCUCAGGCAAGUAACAUACCGAUGACAAAGGGAAUGACGUAUGUUGUUAUGCGGUUUGACCGAUAAAGAUCUUCGUAGAAUAUGUAGGAGCCAAUAUGAGCAUCCAGGCUCCGAUAUUGGUUAUUGACCAGAGAUGUGUCUCGGUCAUGUCUACAUAGUUCUUGAACCCGUAGGCUCCGCACGCUUAACGUCCGAUGACGAUUUGUAUUAUGAGUUAUGUAUUUUGGUGACCGAAGUUUGUUCGGAUUCCCGGAUGAGAUCACGGACAUGACGAGGAGUCUCCAAAUGGUCAAGAGGUAAAGAUUCAUAUAUUGGAAGGUUAUAUUCGGACGUCGGAAUGGUUCCGAGUGAUUCGGGUAUUUUUCCGGAGUACCGAGGGGUUACCGGAACCACCCGGGGAAGUGUUGGGCCACCAUGGGCCUAAGGGAGAGAGAGGGAAGCCCGCGGGGGGGGGGGUGGCCGCGCGGCCCCCUACUAGGGAGUCUGUAUAGGCCAAGGAGGAGGGGGCGGCGCCCCCUUCCCUUUCCCUCUCCCUCUCCUUCCUAUUCCCUCCGGUGGAGAAAGGAAAAGGGGGGGGGGGCGAAUCCUACUUGGACUAGGAGUCCAAGUAGGACUCCCCCUAUGGUGCACCCCUCCUGGCCGCUGGCCUCUCUCCCCCCUCCUUUAUAUACGUGGGAAGGGGGCACCCUAAAGGCACACCAAGAUUUCUCUUAGCCGUGUGCGGUGCCCCUCUCCACAGUUUACUCCUCCGGUCAUUGCGUCUUAGUGCUUAGGCGAAGCCCUGCGCAGAUCACAUCACCAUCACCAUCACCAUGCCGUCGUGCUGACGGAACUCUCCCUCGGCCCUCUACUGGAUCAAGAGUUCGAGGGACGUCAUCAAGCUGAACGUGUGUUGAACAUGGAGGUGAUGUACGUUCGGUACUUGGAUCGGUUGGAUUGUGAAGACGUUCGACUACAUCAACCGCGUUAACAUAAUGCUUCCGCUUUCGGUCUACGAGCGUACGUGGACACACUCUCCCCCUCUGGUUGUUAUGCAUCUCCUAGAUAGAUCUUUCGUGAUCAUAAGAAUUUUUUUGAAAUUGCAUGCUACGUUCCCCAACAUUUCCCUCUCCAGGUCUCGUGUUCGCAGCUCCAGUGAAGCGGCGAGGGUUAUCUGAUAACCAUGGUGGCACAAGCUGGUGGGCGGAUGAUGGGAUGGUGCAUUUCUAAGUGCCUAGGGUGGUGGUGGUAGAUCAGGAGAAAUCCAUGUCGGCUUGUCCGGCACCGAUGCGGUGACGCCUAAGGGCGUUGUCGGUCCUUCCUGAGGGGCGUCGGAUGUAUCCCUUCCCCACUAUCCCCCGUGUACCGAGGGAAACCCUAGAACUUGUUCUGGCAACAAUGGCGACACCGUCUCAUCCCUUCUUGAAGGUGUUGCUUGGUGCACGGCGCUUCGGGAUGCUGGGAGCAUGGUGGUACUUCUUCGUAGGGUGCAGCGGUUGCCGGGCUUUCUUUCUCUGUUGAUUUGCUGGUGUCAGCAUUUAUUUCUCUUUAUUUCUUCUUGUCUUUCAUUUUGGGCUUUUCUGUGCUGUGGCCCCAGCAGGUUGGAUGUAUCGGACGUUUGCUUUAUAUAUAAAGCGGGGGGAAACCCUUUAUCAUCUCUCACAAGGGUCGAGAUCCACCAUGCCUCCAUGACCCUAAGACCACAGAAGAUGAGGCAGACUGACCGCGGCGGCGACAGAGGUAGCGGAAACCAUAAUGAGUGGGUGCCCUUUCAUCACGAAGGGAUACUUGCUGAUUCUUACUGAUCCUUUUAGUAAUGGAACUCUCAUUGGUUGUCAAACUACCAAAACAUAUAUUAGUCAUAAGUUUGUCAAUAUGGUGUCCCAAUUUACAAUAUGGGCAAAGCUCCAAUCAUCUAGCUGAAGUAACAUUUAUUGAUGUCAACAAACUGAACCAAGAAAAUAUAGACAUUAGCAUGGUUUCAUAAGUAAAAGGCCCGAAUCAAUCAUGGAUGGAGAUUGGACUACCGAUGUAGGUCCGGACCUUGGGGCUGACAUGUUACACGAGUUUUUUGCACUAUGGAUAAGGUUGAAAAGAGUGCAACUAGACCCCGACACCACGAAUAUGGUACCUUGGUCUUGGGAGAACAAUGGGGAGUUCUCAGCGAGAUCAGCCUAUGCAACAAAGUUUGGGGGAAGGAAAGUUGCACCAACGGCGAAGUUCACUUGGAGGUCCAAGGCAUCGCAACAAUGUCAUUUCUUCGCAUGGCUUUCCUUAUGUGAUAGAUGUUGGGCCUCCGAGAGGUUGGCCCGACGUGGACUACCACACCAAACCUCCUGCCCCCCUAUGCGACCAGAGUGAUGAAACCGCCAGCCAACUGUUGAUGGAUUGUUUUUUAGAGAGGCAUGGACCCAUGUUUACACGGCUUUGGGUAGGCCAAAUUGGGCACCAGCUCUAGGUGCCAUUCUGAGCACGUGGUGUAUGACAACAUUCGAGGGGAGCCAGUGGCCUCAGGACACACACGCCAUCUUAAUCCUGGUAAUGUGGACCUUAUGGAAACACCGGAACGGCAUAAUCUUCGAUGGGGCCACACUAUCCAUGCAUAAUGUGAUGUCGAUGAUCGAGCAUGAAGGUAGAGCUUGGAGUGGAGCGGGACUAUUCAAAGAUGCGAGUGCUUCUUUCAUCGCGGGGCUAGCUAGGUGAGCUAGCAAAUGAAGGCUAGCAAAUAGAAUGAGAAGCGACCAACCAAAAGACAAAAAUGGUCAUAAACAUGCAUUGAACAUAACUAACACUAAAUAAUGCACCAUAAGUAGGAUAUAACUUUGUUGCAUAACUAUUGACUUUACGUGCAUGCAUAGGGAAUCACAGACCUUAACACUAAUAUUCUUACUAAACCACAAUUACUCACCAACAUGACUCACAUAUUAUCAUCUCCAUAUCAGAAAACUAUGUCAAGGAAUCAAACUUAUUAUAUCCAAUGAUCUUUCAUGGAAGUUUUUAUUAUAUCCCUCUUGAAUAUUCAUCACUCUGGGACCAAAUUCAUAUCUUGUGCAAAUUACCAUUACCAUUAUCAACUAUCAAAAAUAUAUAAGUGAAGCAUGAGAGUGCAAAUAUUUCUUUAAAAUAUAAUCUUGUCAACUCUCAAAAAGAUAUAAGUGAAGCACUAGAGCAACAGCCUAGCUCAAAAGAUUUAAGUGAAGCACAUAGAGCAUUCUAACAAAUCAUGAUAAUCGUGUGGCUCUCCCAAAUAGGUGUGUCCAGCAAAGAUGAUUGUGACAAACUAAAAAGCAAACAAAGCAAAGACUCAUAUAAUACACAACACUCCAAGAAAAACUCAUAUCAUGUGACGAAUAAAAAUAUAGCUCCAAGUAAAAUUAUCGAUGGUCAUUAGAAGAAAGAGGGGAUGCCCCGGGCAUCCCCAAGCUUAGUUGCUUGGUAGUCCUUGAAUAUUACCUUGGGGUGCCUCGUGCAUCCUCAAGCUUAGGCUCUUGCCACUCCUUAUUCCUUCAUCCAUGUGAUCUCACCCAAAACUUGAAAACUUCAAUCACGCAAAACUAAACUAAACCUUCGUGAGAUUGUUAGUAUAAUAAAGCAAAUCACUGCUUUAAGUACUGUUGCAAAUCCAUUCGUAUUUUAUUAUUGCAUUAUACCUACUGUAUUCUAACUUCACCAUGGCUUAUAUCCCCCGAUACAAUCCAUAGAUUCAUCAAAACAAGUAAACAUUGCAACAAAAACAGAACAGUUUGUAGUAAUCUGAACACUGACCAUACUUCUGCAACUCUAAAAAUUCUGAAAAAACUAGGACAGCAUCGGAAAUUUGUAUAUCAAUUAUGUGUAAAAAAAUAGAGCAAAAGCACAUUCCUGUGAAUUUAAAAAAUUCCAGAAGUGGGCGCAAAAUUUUCUGUUUUUUCACAUAAUCAAGUCAACUAUCAUCAAAUCAUCCCAAAGGGUUUACUUGGCACAAACACUAACUAAGACAUAAAAACACAAUCAUAACAGUAGCAUAAUUGUGUGAACACAAGAAAACAGAAAAAUAAACAAGAAAAUUAAGAUAACUAUUGGGUUGCCCCCCAACUAGCGCUAUUGUUUUACGCCACUAGCUAGGCAUAAUGCAUAGUUUAAAGUAUUGUCAUAUUUAGUUUCCAAUUCCUCAAUCACACAUCCAUACUCCCUAGGAAUUUUAACAUACAUAUUUUUUUAAAAUCACACUCCUAGGAACAUGUGGAGGAAUUUAUUCUCAUAGAUUGGUUCUUUUAUCAAAUCAGCAAAGUGGGGGUGAACACUAAUCAUUUUAAGAUCUUCACUUCCAUUACUAGAUGUGGCACCCUUGUUCUUUGGGAUAUACAUAAACUUCAAUUGUUGCUAGGAGGAGUUUUUUUAAUUGUUUUAACAGAAGAAAAAGCGGAACCCAAAUUGUUAAUUUCUUCCAACCUAUCAAUCCUAGCGGGACUUUGUUCCACCCUUUCAUUAAUUAUUGGUUCUUUCUCCUUUAGCAUCUUAAGAUUAAUCCCUAUCCUUGAUCCAAAUUAAGUAACAUGGUUAUGAAUCUUUUUAUCCAAAUUUUCAAUAUGUUCUAUGGUAGGCAUUUUCUUCUCAAUAUCAUCUAACCUUUGCACAACAUGUUUCAAAGUUAAACUGUUUCAUUCAUAGUGAUAGGUGGUGAUCCCACUAAAUUUCCCAUAGCAUUGAAAGCAUCCAUAGGGUGACUACUCAAGAAAUUCCCUCAGGUAAUAGUAUCAAGCACAAACCUAUACCAAGUAGUAAUACCCACAUAAAAAUUAUGAAGAAGAACAGUAGUGGAUUGCUUACGAGCUGAUCUAUUAUGAGCAUCACAAAUCCUAUACCAAGCAUCUUUUAAAUCCCCCCCCCCGCCUUUGCUUAAAAUUGAGAACUUCAUUUUCAGGGGUACACGUAACAAGAGAAGAACUAGCCAUAAUGAUAAAGUGGGCAAGCAAACGAACAGGAAAGCACACAAAAAGGCAAACAAAAAAUUUGUACUUUUGUAAAAACUUUUUAGAAGUGGAGGAGAUGAAAACAAGAGGCAAAGGCAAAUAGAAUAAAUGCAAGGAGAUGAAAGUUUAUGCGUAGGUACUUGAUAAAUGUUGAUGAUGUCUCCCCGGUAACGGCGCCAGAAAUUCUUCCUGCUAAUUGUGAGCUGCAUUGGGUUUUACCCAAAGAGGAGGCGAUGAUACAAUACAGUAGAGAUAAGUAUUUCCCUCAGUUAUGAAACCAAGGCUAUCAAUCCAGUAGGAGAAUCACACAAGAACUCGUUAACAACAUCUGCACACAAAAUAACAAAUCCUUGCAUCUAACAUGAACAAGGGGUUGUCAAUCCCUUGGCGGUUAAUUGCAAGAUUAAAUUGUAUGGUGAUAAAUAGAUAGAUCAAACAAAAAUACAAAACAAAAUAAAUAAAGUAAAAUUGCAGUAAGGUAUUUUUAGGAUUUUUAAUAUAUGAUAGAAGUACACCCGGGGGCCAUAGUUUUCACUAGAGGCUUCUCUCUUGAAAAUAGCAUACGGUGGGUAAACAAAUUACUAUUGGGCAACUGAUAGAAAAGCAAAUAAUCAUGACAAUAUCCAAGGCAAUGAUCAUGUAUAUAGGCAUCACAUCCAAGAUAAGUAAACCGACUCCUGCCUGCAUAUACUAUUAUUACUCCACACAUUGACUGCUAUCCAACAUGCAUCUAGAGUAUUAAGUUCAUAAAGAACGGAGCAACACAUUAAGCAAGAUGACAUGAUGUAGACAAAGUAAACUCACGCGUAAAUAAACCCCAUAUUUUUAUCCUUAGUGGCAAUGAUACAAGUACGUGGCAUGUCCCCUACUAUCACUGGGAUUGAGCACCGCAAGAUCGAACCCAUCACAAAGCACACCUCUCCCAUUGCAAGAUAAAUCGAUCUAGUUGGCCAAACCAAAUCAAUAGAUCGGAGAGAAAUACAAAGCUAUAAUAAUCACCAUAAAAGAGUUCAAAGAAAACACAAAUAAUAUUCAUGGAUAGUCUGAUCAUAAAUUCACAAUUCAUCAGAUCCCAACAAACAGACCGCAAAAAGUGAUUACAUCAAAUAGAACUCCAAGAACAUCAAGGAGAACAUUGUACUCCAUACAUUCUCUUAUACAAGGCCACAAACUCAGAUUGCAGGUACCAAGGUAAAAUUUAAUGACUACUUUGAAGUCAACUUUUCUUUUCGUUAACCGGGAUCAUUAAUACCGCCACAUGCAUGCAAGCAUUAAACAGGUUGCUAGUACGAGAAAACAUCAUUAAUUUUUGCCUCGAUUACUGUUGGUGGCCUUGUAUAGAUGCAAACUGUAUUUUUGAUAGUGGUCUUGUAUAAGGGAAUAGAGUAUUGAAGAUCAAAUAGAGAGAAGAAGUCAUCUAGCUACUAACUGCGGACCCCAUAGGUCUGUGGUAAACUACUUACGCAUCAUCAAAAGGGCAACAAGGUUGAUAUAGAGCCCCUCCGUGAUUGAUUCCCCCUCCAGCGGAGUGCCGGAGAAGGCCUCCAGAUGGGAUCUCUUGAGAACAAUAACUUGCAGCGGCGGAAAAAGUAUUUUGUGGACUCCUCUGUUGGUUUCCCGAUUUUAGAGAAUUUAUAGAGGCGAAGUUAGGUCAAAUGGAGCCACAUGGGCCCCAUGAGUCACCAGGGCUUCGUGCCUCGUGGGCCACUGUUCUAUCUUCUCAUCCCCUCCCGAAGUUUCCAGGGUCUCUUAUGUCCAGAAAAAAAACUCCAAAAAGUUUUGUGGCAUUUGGACUUCGUUUGGUACUGAUAUUCUGAAAAACUAAAAAACAGGCAAAACAACAACUAACACUGGACACUAAGUUGACAGAUUAGUCCUAAAAAUGAUAUAUCAUUGUUUGUAAAUGUAUAUAAAACAUCCAAAUUGAUACUAUAAUAACAUGGAACAAUCAAAAAUUAUAGAUACAUUGGAGACGUAUCACACACUUACCUUUUGCAAGCGGCUAAUCAGACACAUGUCAGGGCUAGUUUAGAAUUAUUAUAUCGAAUAUUAUGGAUAGGGUCGGAUAUUCUGAUAGAAACUCCGACAUGUCGGGCGUUAGUUCAGAUAGUUUGACCAAAUGUACAACCCUACCCAGUGGCACAAAACCGGAGAAAACAUGGGCUCUUUCUCACCUAUGUAGUGGAAGGUAUUCUACUUGUCUUUGUUAAAAAAAUUCCCACACACAAGAUCCAUGAUGUAUCCCCUCUUAAUAGCACGAUGUACGUGUUGGGGAACAUAGUAAUUUCAAAAAAAUUCAUACGCACACGCAAGAUCAUGGUGAUGCAUAGCAACGAGAGGGGAGAGUGUGUCCACGUACCCUAGUAGACCGACAGCGGAAGUGUUAGCACAACGCAGUUGAUGUAGUCGUACGUCUUCACGGCCCGACCGAUCAAGCACCAAAACUACGGCACCUCCGAGUUCUUGCACACGUUCAGCUCGAUGACGUCCCUCGUACUCUGAUCCAGCCGAGUGUCGAGGGAGAGUUCCGUCAGCACGACCGCGUGGUGACGAUGAUGAUGUUCUACCGUUGCAGGGCUUCGCCUAAGCACCGCUAUGAUAUUAUCGAGGAGGACUAUGGUGGAGGGGGGCACCGUACACUGCUAAGAGAUCAAGAGAUCAAUUGUUGUGUCUAGACGUGCCCCCCUGCCCCCAUAUAUAAAGGAGGGGAGGAGGAGAGGGUCGGCCAAGGGGAGGAGGCGCGCCCAAGGGGGGCAAUCCUACUCCAAGUAGGAUUCCCCCCCUCUUUCCUAGUCCAAGUAGGAGAGGAGAAGGAAGGGAAGGAGAAGGAGAAGGAAGGAGAGGGAGAAAAAGGAGGAAAGGGGGGCCGGCCCCCUAGUCCAAUUCAGUUUGGUCUAGGGGGGCGCGCGCCCUUGUCUCCUCUCUUCCACCACUUGGCCCAUGAGGCCCAUUGCUUCUUCCUCGUAUUCCCGUAACUCCCCGGUACCCACGAAAAUACCCGAAUCACUCGGAACCUUUCCAAUAUUUGAAUAUAGUCGUCCAAUAUAUCGAUCUUUACGUCUCGACCAUUUUGAGACUCCUCGUCAUGUCCCCGAUCUCAUCCGGGACUCCGAACUCCUUCGGUACAUGAAAACACAUAAACUCAUAAUAUAACUGUCAACGAAACCUUAAGCGUGUGGACCCUACGGGUUCGAGAACUAUGUAGACACGACCGAGACACGUUUCCGGUCAAUAACCAAUAGCAGAACCUGGAUGCUCAUAUUGGCUCGUACAUAUUCUGCGAAGAUCUUUAUCGGUCAAACUGCAUAACAACAUACGUUGUUCCUUUUGUCAUCGAUAUGUUACUUGCCCGAGAUUCGAUCGUCGGUAUCUCAAUACCGAGUUCAAUCUCGUUACCGGCAAGUCUCUUUACUCGUUAUGUAAUGCAUCAUCCCGCAACUAACUCAUUAGUCACAUUGCUUGCAAGGCUUAUAGUGAUGUGCAUUACCGAGAGGGUCCAGAGAUACCUCUCCGACAAUCGGAGUGACAAAUCCUAAUCUCGAAAUAUGCCAACUCAACAUGUACCUUCGGAGACACCUGUAGAGCUCCUUUAUAAUCACCUAGUUACGUUGUGAUGUUUGGUAGCACACACAUUGUUCCUCCGGUAAACGGGAGUUGCAUAAUCUCAUAGUCAUAGGAACAUGUAUAAGUCAUGUAGAAAGCAAUAGCAACAUACUAAACGAUCAAGUGCUAAGCUAACGGAAUGGGUCAAGUCAAUCACAUCAUUCUUCUAAUGAUGUGAUCUCGUUAAUUAAAUGACAACUCAUGUCUAUGGCUAGGAAACACAACCAUCUUUGAUCAACAAGCUAGUCAAGUAGAGGCAUACUAGUGACACUAUGUUUGUCUGUGUAUUCACACAUGUAUUAUGUUUCCGGUUAAUAAGAUUCUAGCAUGAAUGAUAAACAUUUAUCAUGAAAUAAGGAAAUAAAUAAUAACUUUAUUAUUGCCUCUAGGGCAUAUUUCCUUCAGUCUCCCACUUGCACUAGAGUCAAUAAUCUAGUUCACAUCGCCAUGUGAUUUAACACCAAUAUUCAUAUCGGUAUAUGAUUAACACCCAUAGUUCACAUCGUCAUGUGACCAACACCCAAAAGGUUUACUAGAGUCAAUAAUCUAGUUCACAUCGCUUAUAUGAUUAACACCCAAAGAGUACUAAUGUGUGAUCAUGUUUUGCUCGUGAGAGAAGCUUAGUCAACUGGUCUGUCACAUUCAGAGCCGUAUGUAUUUUGCAAAUAUUCUAUGUCUACAAUGCUCUGUACGGAGUUACUCUAGCUAAUUGCUCCCGCUUUCAAUAUGUAUCCAAAUUAAGACUUAGAGUCAUCUGGAUCGGUGUAAAAGCUUGCACCGAUGUAACUCUUUACGACGGGCUCUUUUAUCACCUCCAUAAUCGAGAAAUAUUUCCUUGGUCCUCACUAAGGAUAUUCUUGACCAAUGUUCAGUGAUCUACUCCUAGAUCACUAUUGUACUCCCUUGCCAAAUUCAGAGCAAGGUAUACAAUAGGUCUGAUACAUAGCAUAGCAUACUUUAUAGAACCUAUGACUGAGGCAUAGGGAAUGACUUUCAUUCUCUUUUCUAUUUUCUGCCGUGGUCAGGAUUUGAGUCUUACUCAAUUUCACACCUUUGCGACACAGGAAAGAACUCUUUCUUUGACUAUUUCAUUUUGAACUACUUCAAAAACUUGACAAGGUGUGUACUUAUUGAAAAACUUAUCAAGCACUUUGAUCUAUCUCAAUAGAUCUUGAUGCUCAAUAUGUAAGUAGCUUUACUGAGGUCUUUCUUUUAAAGAACUCCUUUCAAAUACUCCUUUAUGCUUUCCAGAAAAAUUCUACAUCAUUUCUGAUCAACAAUAUGUUACUCACAUAUAUUUAUCAGAAAGGCGGUAGUACUCCCACUCACUUUAUUAUAAAUACAGGCUUCUCCAAAAGUCUGUAUAAAACCAUAUGCUUUGAUCAACUCAUCAAAGUGUAUAUUCCAACUCCGAGAUGCUUGCACCAGUCCAUAGAUGGAUCGCUGGAGCUUGCACAUUUUGUUAGCACCUUUAGGAUUGACAAAACCCUCUGGUUGCAUCAUAUACAACUCUUCUUUAAAAAAUCCAUUAAGGAAUGCAGUUUUGACAUCCAUUUGCCAGAUUUCAUAAAAUGUGGCAAUUGCUAACAUGAUUCGGACAGACUUAAGCAUCGAUACGAGUGAGAGAAUCUCAUCGUAUUCAACACCUUGAACUUGUCGAAAAACUUUUUGCGACAAAGUCGAGCUUUGUAGAUAGUAAUACUACUAUCAGCGUCCGUUUUCCUCUUGAAGAUCCAUUUAUACAAUAUGGCUUGCCGAUCAUCGGGCAAUUCCACCAAAGUCCACACUUUGUUCUCAUACAUGGAUCACAUCUCAGAUUUCAUGGCCUCAAACCAUUUCGCGGAAUCUGGGCUCAUCAUCGCUUCCUCAUAGUUUGUAGGUUUAUCAUGGUCUAGUAACAUGACUUUCAGAAUAGGAUUACCGUACCACUCUGGUGCGGAUCAUACUCUGGAAGACCUACGAGGUUCUGUAGUAACUUGAUCUGAAGUUUCAUGAUCAUCAUCAUUAGCUUCCUCACUAAUUGGUGUAGGCAUCACUGGAACUGGUUUCUAUGAUGAACUACUUUCCAAUUCGGGAGAAGGUACAAUUACCUUAUCAAGUUCUACUUUCCUCCCACUCACUUCUUUCGAGAGAAACUCCUUCUCUAGAAAGGAUCCAUCUUAGCAACGAAUAUCUUGUCUUCAGAUUUGUGAUAGAAGGUGUACCCAACAGUUUCCUUUGGGUAUUCUAUGAAGACGCACUUCUCCGAUUUGGGUUUGAGCUUAUCAGUUUGAAACUUUUUCACAUAAGCAUCGCAGCCCCAAACUUUAAGAAACGACAACUUUGGUUUCUUGCCAAACCACAGUUCAUAAAGUGUCGUCUCAAUGGAUUUUGAUGGUGCCCUAUUUAAAGUGAAUGUAGCUGUCUCUAAUGCAUAACCCCAAAAUGAUAUUGGUAAAUCGAUAAGAGACAUCAUUGAUCGCACCAUACCAAAUAAAGUGCGGUUUAUGACGUUCGAACACACCGUUACGCUGUGGUGUUCCAAGUGGCGUGAACUGUGAAACUAUUCCACAUUGUUUUAUAUGAAGGCCAAACUCGUAAUUCAAAUAUUCUCCUCCACGAUCAGAUCAUAGAAACUUUAUUUUCUUGUUACAUUGAUUCUCCACUUCACUCUGAAAUUCUUUGAACUUUUCAAAUGUUUCAGACUUGUGUUUCAUUAAGUAGGUAUACCCAUAUCUACUCAAAUCAUCUGUGAAGGUCAGAAAAUAAUGAUACUUGCCACGAGCAUCAACACUCAUUGGAUCGCAUACAUCGGUAUGUAUUAUUUCCAAUAAGUCAGUAGCUCGUUCCAUUGUUCCGGAGAACGGAGUUUUAGUCAUCUUGCCCAUAAGGCACGGUUCGCAAGUACCAAGUGAUUCAUAAUCAAGUGAUUCCAGAAGUCCAUCAGUAUGGAGUUUCUUCAUGCGCUUUACACCAAUAUGACCCAAACGGCAGUGCCACAAAUAAGUUGCACUAUCAUUAUUAACUCUGCAUCUUUUGGCAUCAACAUUAUGAAUAUGUGUAUCACUAUGAUCAAGAUUCAAUAAACCAUCACCAUUGGGUGUAUGACCAUAGAAGGUUUUAUUCAUGUAAACAGAAUAACAAUUUAUUCUCUAUCUUAGAUGAAUAAUCGUAUCGCAACAAGCAUGAUCUUAUCAUAUUUAUGCUCAAUGCAAACACCAAAUAACAUUUAUUUAGGUUUAACACUAAUCUCGAAAGUAUAGGGAGUGUGUGAUGAUGAUCAUAUCAAUCUUAGAACUAUUUCCAACAUUCAUCGUCACUUCCCCUCAACUAGUCUCUAUUUAUUAUGUAAGUCCUGUUUCGAGUUACUAAUCUUAGCAAACGAACAAGUAUCAAAUACUCAGGGGCUACUAUAAACACUAGUAAGGUACACAUCAAUAACCUGUAUAUCAAAUAUACCCUAGUUUUACUUUGCCAUCCUUCUUAUCCACCAAAUAUUUGGAGUAGUUCCACUUCCAGUGACCAUUUCCUUUGCAGUAGAAGUACUCAGUUUCAGGCUUAGGUCCAGCUUUGGGCUUCUUCACGGGAGUGACAACUUGUUUGUCAUUCUACUUGAAGUUCCCUUUCUUUCCCUUUGCCCUUUUAUUGAAACUAGUGGUCUUGUCAAUCAUCAACACUUGAUGCUCUUUAUUGAUUUCUACCUUCAUCGAUUUCAACAUCACGAAGAGUUCAGGAAUCGUUUUCUUCAUCCCUUGCAUAGUAUAGUUCAUCACGAAGUUCUAGCAACUUGGUGAUGGUGACUAGAGAACUCUGUCAAUCACUAUCUUAUCUGGAAGAUAAACUCCCACUUGAUUCAAGCGAUUGUAGUACCCAGACAAUCUGAGCACAUGCUCACUAGUUGAGCGAUUCUCCUCCAUCUUUUAGCUAUAGAACUUGUUGGAGACUUCAUAUUUCUCAAAUCAGGUAUUUUCUUGAAAUAUUAACUUCAAUUAAUUCCUGGAACAUCUCAUAUGGUCCAUGACGUUCAAAACGUGUUUGAAGUCCCGAUUCUAAGCCGUUAAGCAUGGUGCACUAAACUAUUAAAUAGUCAUCAUAUUGAGCUAGCCAAACGUUCAUAAGGUCUGCAUCUGCUCUUGCAAUAGGUCUGUCACCUAGCGGUGCAUUAAGGACAUAUUUCUUCUGUGCAGCAAUGAGGAUAAACCUCAGAUCAUGGAUCCAAUCCGCAUCAUUGCUACUAACAUCUUUCAACACGAUUUUUCUCUAGGAACAUAUCAAAAUAAACAUAUGAAAACAACAACGCGAGCUAUUGAUCCACAACAUAAUUUGCAAAAUAUUGCCAGGACUAAGUUCAUGAUAAAUUUAAGUUCAAUUAAUCAUAUUACUUAAGAACUCCCACUUAGGCAGACAUCUCUCUAGUCAUCUAAGUGAUCACGUGAUCCAAAUCAACUAAACCAUGUCCGAUCAUCACGUGAGAUGGAGUAGUUUUCAAUGGUGAACAUCACUAUGUUGAUCAUAUCUACUAUAUGAUUCACGCUCGACCUUUCGGUCUCCGUGUUCCGAGACCAUAUCUAUAUAUGCUAGGCUCGUCAAGGUUAACCUGAGUAUUCCGCGUGUGCAACUGUUUUGCACCCAUUGUAUUUGAACGUAGAGCCUAUCACACCCGAUCAUCACGUGGUGUCUCAGCACGAAGAACUUUCACAACGGUGCAUACUCAGGGAGAACACUUCUUGAUAAUUAGUGAGAGAUCAUCUUAAAAUGCUACCGUCAAUCAAAGAAAAAUAAGAUGCAUAAAGGAUAAACAUCACAUGCAAUCAAUAUAAGUGAUAUGAUAUGGCCAUCAUCAUCUUGUGCUUGUGAUCUCCAUCUCCGAAGCACCGUCGUGAUCGCCAUCGUCACCGGCGCGACACCUUGAUCUCCAUCGUAGCAUCGUUGUCGUUACGCCAUCUAUUGCUUCUACAACUAUCGCUACCGCUUAGUGAUAAAGUAAAGCAAUUACGGGGCGAUUGCAUUGCAUACAAUAAAGCGACAACCAUAUGGCUCCUGCCAGUUGCCGAUAACUCGCUUACAAAACAUGAUCAUCUCAUACAAUAAAAUAUAGCAUCACGUCUUGACCAUAUCACAUCACAACAUGCCCUGCAAAAACAAGUUAGACGUCCUCUACUUUGUUAUUGCAAGUUUUACGUGGCUUCUACGGGCUUAGCAAGAACCGUUCUUACCUACGCAUCAAAACCACAAUGAUAGUUCGUCAAGUUAGUGAUGUUUUAACCUUCGCAAGGACCGGGCGUAGCCACACUCGGUUCGACUAAAGUUGGAGAAACAGACACCCACCAGCCACCUGUGUGCAAAGCACAUCGGUAGAACCAGUCUCGCGUAAGCGUACCGUAAUGUCGGUCCGGGCCGCUUCAUCCAACAAUACUGCCGAACCAAAGUAUGACAUGCUGGUAAGCAGUAUGACUUGUAUCGCCCACAACUCACUUGUGUUCUACUCGUGCAUAUAACAUCUACGCAUAAAACCUGGCUCGGAUGCCACUAUUGGGGAACGUAGUAAUUUCAAAAAAUUUCCUACGCACACGCAAGAUCAUGGUGAUGCAUAGCAACGAGAGGGGAGAGUGUGUCCACGUACCCUUGUAGAUUGAAAGCGGAAGCGUUAGCACAACGCGGUUGAUGUAGUCGUACGUCUUCACGGCCCAACCGAUCAAGCACCGAAACUACGGCACCUCCGAGUUCUUGCACACGUUCAGCUCGAUGACGUCCCUCGUACUCUGAUCCAGCCGAGUGUCGAGGGAGAGUUCCAUCAGCACGACGGCGUGGUGACGAUGAUGAUGUUCUAUCAUUGCAGGGCUUCGCCUAAGCACCGUUAUGAUAUUAUCGAGGAGGACUAUGGUGGAGGGGGGCACCGCACACGGCUAAGAGAUCAAGAGAUCAAUUGUUGUGUCUAGAGGUGCCCCCUGCCCCCGUAUAUAAAGGAGGGGAGGAGGAGAGGGCCAGCCAAGGGGAGGAGGCGCGCCCAAGGGGGGCAAUCCUACUCCAAGUAGGAUUCCCCCCUCUUUCCUAGUCCAAGUAGGAGAGGGGAAGGAAGGGAAGGAGAAGGAGAAGGAAGGAGAGGGAGAAAAAGGAGGAAAGGGGGGCCGGCCCCCUAGUCCAAUUCGGUUUGGUCUAGGGGGGGAGCGUGCGCCCUUGUUUCCUCUCUUCCACCACUUGGCCCAUGAGGCCCAUUGCUUCUUCCUCGUAUUCCCGUAACUCCCUGGUACGCCCGAAAAUACCCGAAUCACUCGGAACCUUUCCGAUGUUUGAAUAUAGUCGUCCAAUAUAUCGAUCUUUACGUCUUGACCAUUUCGAUACUCCUCGUCAUGUCCCCGAUCUCAUCCGGGACUUCGAACUCCUUCGGUACAUCAAAACACAUAAACUCAUAAUAUAACUCUCAACAAAACCUUAAGCGUGCGGACCCUACGGGUUCGAGAACUAUGUAGACAUGACCGAGACACGUUUCCGGUCAAUAACCAAUAGCAGAACCUGGAUGCUCAUAUUGGCUCCUACAUAUUCUACGAAUAUCUUUAUCGGUCAAACCGCAUAACAACAUACGUUGUUCCUUUUGUCAUCGGUAUGUUACUUGCCCGAGAUUCGAUCGUCGGUAUCUCAAUACCUAGUCCAAUCUCGUUACCGGCAAGUCUCUUUACUCGUUAUGUAAUGCAUCAUCCCGCAACUAACUCAUUAGUCACAUUGCUUGCAAGGCUUAUAGUGAUGUGCAUUACCGAGAGGGUCCAGAGAUACCUCUCCGACAAUCGGAGUGACAAAUCCUAAUCUCGAAAUAUGUCAACUCAACAUGUACCUUCGGAGACACCUUUAGAGCUCCUUUAUAAUCACCUAGUUACGUUGUGACGUUUGGUAGCACACAAAGUGUUCCUCCGGUAAACGGGAGUUGCAUAAUCUCAUAGUCAUAGGAACAUGUAUACGUCAUGAAGAAAGCAAUAGCAACAUACUAAACGAUCAAGUGCUAAGCUAACGGAAUGGGUCAAGUCAAUCACAUCAUUCUUCUAAUGAUGUGAUCUCGUUAAUCAAAUGACAACUCAUGUCUAUGGCUAGGAAACACAACCAUCUUUGAUCAACAAGCUAGUCAAGUAGAGGCAUACUAGUGACACUAUGUUUGUCUAUGUAUUCACACAUGUAUUAUGUUUCCGGUUAAUAAGAUUCUAGCAUGAAUGAUAAACAUUUAUCAUGAAAUAAGGAAAUAAAUAAUAACUUUAUUAUUGCCUCUAGGGCAUAUUUCCUUCAGUACGUAUGUCUCAAAAACCAGAAAUCGUCAAUAUAAUUUUGACUUGUCAUUUUCUUUUAUCCUUUUAGCUUAGGGAGUCCGCGACCAACAUUAUGCUUCAUUUAAAAUCAUGUGUACGGUCAAAGCAUAGUCUAAUCAUCAUUGCCAUUAACACCAAAACCCUCAUUGGGGGCGGAUUUCCUUUUAAGUAGUAUGAGAAUUGAAAAAUAAAGUGCAUAUAACUUAUUGUAUUUGAUUAUUGUAUAGUUGUAGCAUAUUAUUAAACAUGAGUACCAUACAUGGUGCGUGUGAAGGUGGGUCUUUCCCAUGCAUGGUGGCAUAAUGAGUUGGCAUAUUUGCAUAUUGAGAGACUGGCACAUAUGCUUGUGCGUUUUGACACGAGAAAAAUUAGUAUGCAUUUAAAUUUAGUGAGAAUUAUAUCUGCAAGCAAAAUCCUGUGCGCACACGAAAAAGGAACAUUUAGGUUAUCGGUUUCGCCGGGCGUGAAGUAAUCAAUCCGCUAUUUUUCCAUUCAUUGAUCGAGGGCAUUUAAGAGUUUUGUUACGUCAUUAUACACCGGAGAAGGCCCAUGAAUUAUUCAAUCUACUUUUCCUUUCAAUCAAGGAGAUUUUAAGGUAUGAAGUUUCUGAAUAUUGUAGGAAACAUGAACCAUUUCUUAAAUCCUGAACAAUUUUUUGAAAGUUAUGUACACUUUCGGAAAAACAAGAUAAAAAUUUGAAACAAGGACAUCUUUUAAAAUUCAUAAACAUUUUAUGAAAACACCAUAUUUUUAAAAAACAUGAACAUUAUUUGAUUUUGUGAAGAUUUUUACAGAACGGGAUCAUGUGUUCAAAAUUCAUUCUUUUUUUGAAAAUGUGUAUCUUUUAACAUUAUUUUGAAUUGUGAAAAUUUCACUAAAAAGAAUUUUUUUUUGAAUUUGGGGCAUUUUUUAAAUUGCCAUUUUAUUUUUAGAAAUCUUGAACAAUUUUGAAAAACAAUAAAGUUUUCAAAAAAUGGGAAACUUUUUUUCAAGUUCCGAUUUUUUUUCAAAAUAGCAAUAGGUUUUUUGGAAUUCUGAACAUUUUCUACAUUGUGAUUUUUUUUUUGAAAAUUCUGAACUUUUUUGAGGAUCUUGAAAAAUAAACUUGGAAGUGAAAAAAGAGACAUAGAAGGAGAAUAAAAAUAGAAAUAAAACACAGAAACAAAGAAAAAUGGGCGAGCCGAUUAUUGGUUGUCCUGUGUGAAGCUCCGACUAUUUGUCGCUCUGUGUGGAAAAUAGAAUUUUCAUAACUGUGUGGGCUGCCUUCGCUGGGCCACAGCGCACGACCCGCGUACGAAAUUCUGGAAAAGCCUUUUUUUUAAUAGACGAACGCAUAAGAAUUUAGUACCACCUGGGAUUGAAAAAAAAAUCAAGAUGAACGGAUGAAAAAGUUGACGGAACGCAUCUUGCUUUAUUAGUAGGUAUAUAUAAGUAUAGAAUUAGAGUCAGUGAGGAUCCACUAUUUAGGUAUAAAGGAUAUAAGAUAUAGUAUAUGCCUACCUAAUUAUACACUAGAAUUCGCUAUUUGGACCAUACAGUUUAAAUAUCUCUAACCUGAAUUUUAGGAUAUUUAUACAUGUACAAAGAAACACACAUGCACACAUAAGCACACUAUGAUUUGCAAAUGUCAACAAAUAACUCAGUGAGGUCCUUUUGCUAUAAAAUAUAAGUUAAACUUGGCACAAAACAAGGGUAUUUUCCAAUGAUAUAUAUACAUUACAUUGUUAAUUAUGUUAAUUAAUAAAUACAAAAUUGUACCCAUUAAGAAUGUUGUGUGAUAAAAUAAAAUGUUAUAAAAAGUUUAAAAGUUUAGUAUAAACUAUAUUAAUUUUAUUCUCCUUAAGUGUGAUCAUGAUUAAUAAAUCUCUGCUCACCUAUAUCGACUUUGGCCAGCACAUGCCGCUUAGUCUAAUCUCACUGCAGUCUACCUAUUUAGCCUCAUCGAUGAGGGCUAAAAGAACAUUGAGUUUGGCAAUAACAUUGAGCAUAUUCUGUUAUGACGUCACACGCAAGUAUGAGCUAAUCCCACGUGACCCGUGAAGGAUGCAAGUACUCACCAAGUGGAGGUGCAUUAAUAACCCAACCCAUAUCCUCGUCAGUGGAAGGUCUGCGGAUUGGGAGCCUCAUCUUUAAUUAAAAAGGAGUCUUAUGUCAUCACUGGUUUCUAAGUCGGCCUAGAGUAUAAUUUGUAAAUAGUUAAUCUAAGUAUUUUAUUUAUCAAUAAUAAAACAUAAUAUUUUCAGUGCAUGUUUUUAAGAAGUCGUAUAUUUUGAAUUUACAUACAUACAAUCAGCAAAAAUGAAUUUUCUUAACGGGUUGCGUCAGAGGGUGUAUCAGAGAGUGUUGGAACUUUCCAGUCCCAGUGUUGUACCCGGCGAGUACCGGUGUUGCAUCAGGCGCUGGACCCGACAAAAAGGGUGUGCUGGGUUUGCCCCCUCUUUUGACCACGCGGCACAGAUGCUACAACCAGUGAUUUGUUUUACCGGCACCAGCGGCAAUAGUUGCUAGAAUCGGUGAAGCAGCGUUUUGGCUCCCGAGCUCUUUAUCUGGACCAUAGAGUUGUCUCGUGAUCUGUGCCACUUUCUAGUUUUGAGAGGAAAUACGAACGGUGUACGUGAGAAAAUACGACUGUUCGCUCUCUCUCUUCAGUUACUCCGUCCUCUCUCUCUCAUCUUCAUUUCUCAGGCAUUGAUGUGACAUGUGAGAAGCUAGCAGUUUCUCAAUCAAUUCUCUCUCUUCUUAGUCCUGUCAGGGAGGGCGGCCGCAUGCCAUAGCCAUGCAAAGCACUCGCGGUUUCGGCUAGCCCCUCCCGAGUUCACACCGCAGACCUGCUGUUCAAUGAGCUCGGCAUUCGAGACGGAGAAGACCAUGGAGGGUCCCCGCUUAACAUGCACUUGGAUCUUGCAUCAUCGUACAGUCUGAUGCUUGGGACUGUUCGAUCCGCCUCGCCAGCGUCGGCCAACGCAAGCAACCAGGUUCUAGACGACCAGGCUCGACGACAUUGCUGGCGAACAUAUGCAGCAGCGUGCACGAGCAGGCAGAUAAGGUGCCUUUUUUUGGCACCGGCGGCCGGCGUCGAGCUUGGCGCAUCUCUGUCGUUAACGCACGCUCUGGCUGCAGGCUGUGCUCUUCGUAAGCAUGCCUGUCGAUUCUUUUUUAUUUCCGACGAGAGGUGAGAUAACAGUUAGUAAUGCUAAUUGCCGUUCUAUUGCUGGUUAAGGUUUGUUAGUACUUCAUCGGUGGAAUCAAGAUAUUCUUCUGUGCUUUUGUGAUCGAGCAAUGCUAAUCAUGUUAGGUGCUAAUUGAGGAUAAUCGGUUACUGCUAAUUUGUGCCUUCCACUCUGUGAUUUAGGCCCGUCUCGUCGUUCCUCGACUGCUCCAUAGCCCCCUCGCUGGCUCCGCAGGCUGCACCAUGAUGUUCAGAUACUCCAGUAGCCAUGCAACGGUGCCGGUUUAGAAAGUGACACCAACAAUCUUGUUUCAUUUUUCGCCCUCGCAGCUGCAUACCGUGCGUCAGCGAUGAUCAUGGUCAUGGCCAGGUGGUAGACAUGCAUUGUCCAGCAGGCGAUGGAAACAUUUUAUUUCAUUUUUUUCUUUGAGAAAACAAGAGCUUGUAUUUGGGAUCACAAUCACAGUCGUGCACGGGAAAAGCAGGAUCACGAUCACAGAGCACCACUCCAUCCUUGUGAUCUCGAAAUAGGUUUUCGCCCCGUGACCAUAAUCUCAGAACCUGCUCCGGGACAUUACAAUGGGGGCAGUGGCGAAGGCAGAAUUUUUUUAUAGGUGUGGCGGAGUUCACGAAGGACGAAAACAACAAUGUAUAAUAUAAUCAAGAUGUGCCAUAGACCCAUAGUUAAUAUAACUAUGUGCGGAUCGUUGCCAUCUGAGUAGAUUAGAACAACAAAUUCACUGUUGUAUACAAAUAAUCAAAAUUAACCGGUCAUAUAUAACUAAUCAAUAUUAUAAAGAUUGAUGUUUGAUAGUUUAUGAACUAUAAAAAAUUGGACAAAAGGAUUACAAAAUUUUAGGGCUAAUAUGGCUGUGAUCCGGACCUGAUGUCGUUGCUUCCGGCUCGCCGUCGCUGGCACAUAAGCUCGUCGUUUUGUGGUUUGCGGCAUAGUGUUUCACUCGCCACCGAGUUCCCUGCAGUGCCACCCGCCGCCAUCGCGCGUUCGUCAAGCAUCAUCGCCGGGUGCCAGAGUCGCCCUAACUGAGGUAGAUCGUGCCGCUAUUCUGUAACUGCGGUUGUGUGCACGCGAUUUCCAAGCUGUGAAUCGCAGCGUAACUGGACAGAUCGAGCUGGGCUACAUACAGCUAGGUGGGCUGCUGGGAGGAUAACUAGGCCAUUGGCAAUUAAGUUUGAGGCCCCUGCGUGUCUCCUGCCCCUCCAAAAUGAUGAAACGGAUAGAACUCCAUCGACCAAUGCUCAAACUCCAGAUAUAUAGUAUAUAUACGCGGUAUUUAGCCAAAUUUUAGGUAUGGCAGCCGCCAAACCUCGCCAUAUUGCUAGGCCCAUGUCAUUUGAUGACCUGCGUCCUCGACGGGAGAUGAUCAUACGUAAACUGCCACACAAAGAUCUCGAUCUUAAAAGGGGGAGGCGUUUUCGACAAAUGUGUGGACCACGCAAGAGUCAGCGCACGACAUAGAGCUCGGUAUGUCGAGCCGAUAGAGAACAUCCCCGACGAGGGCAAGCACCAAGAUAUGUCGUCCCGAUAGUCCGGAAGCAUCGUCUGGAGGCCUAGACAAAGGGUGACCCAAGCUACGAGUCUCGGGCCCAGAUAUCCAUAGGAACAAGACGCUCCACUUUUCCAUUGUGGCGGCCGAGGCAAACAAUAUCAUCGGGUCUGAGCAGAUAGCAAACAAGUCUCAGAACUUGGCAGACGGAGAUCCACCCAAACCAUGUGUCAAACCAGAAGAUGGUCCUGUCUCCAUCACCUAUGAAAACAGAUAACCCAAGUCGAGUCUCAUGCUUGAUCGACUAGAUAUACUUCCAGAACGGGGACCCCUCCCUACUCUCACAAGUAAGAACAGGACGGCCUUCCAGGCACUUUGCUUUAAUAAGUUGUAGCCACAGAUCCCCAUCUUCUCGAAUAAUCCUCCUUACCUAUCUCAGCAUAAGGGCCACAUUCAUGUGACGAGACGCAAGAAUACACAGACCCAUCCUUGGGCAAGCAUAUACCGCCCAUUUGACCAUAUGGUGGUAUUUUUGCCGCCCACCUGUCGCGUGCAAAAAGAAUCGUGAUAGGUCCUUGUCAAAGGAGCUAUGCACACCUUCCGACAAAAUAUACAACCCCAUCAUAUAGGCUCGAGAGAUAGGAAGUCAAUAAGCACUGAUUUACUCCCUUUGGGGUAAAUCGCCUGCACCACGGCGACCCAGAUGUGGCCCGUCCCGCAAGCUGGUCAAAAUCUUGGACGGGGAACCUCGUGUUAGAUAACGGCAUCCCCAAUUACUCAAUGGGGAAGGCGGACAACCUACGAUUAGGGUUGUCCGCAAUCCAUUGUUGAUCCUCAACCGGAUACCCUAGAAUCAUAACCUCACUCCUAUCGAAAUUGAUCUUAAGGCCAGACAUGGCCUCAGAGCAGUGGAGAAGGAACUUGUGGUUGAUGAUAUCUCCGACCCCUCUACCAUGAUCAUGAUGUCAUUCGCAUAUUGGAGGUGAGUAACACCAACUCAUACGCAAAAAAAUACCUCUUAGAACAAUAUGCCCAACCACACAUGAGAUCAAUACGACCAAGCAUCCUAGCCUUAUCCAGGAUGGCUGCCAGGACGUCCACCGCAAGGUUAAAAAUUAGGUAGGAAAUAGGAUCCCUUGCCUCACCCUGCUAGAAGACCUAAAAUAGGCCCACCUCCCCAUUAAUGUUAAUCAUGACGCUACCAUUCCUAACUGUUCUGCAUGAUCCAACAACACCAACGGUCAUCGACCCCCCUUCACUCAAGCACUAGGCAAGAGGAAGGAACGGUCAAGACGGUCGUAGGCCUUUUUGAAAUCUAGCCUCGGGAAAACACCUUUCUCACGCUACACCUUGACCUCAGGUACAAUUUCGUGAAGAUUGAGAAUCCCAUCAUGAAUCCGAUCCCCCUUAAAAAAGGUGAAUUGGCAGGAAUGAGAGAGGUGAUCCACGAUCGGGUGAACCACAUCGCACACACCUUAGAGAAGAUCCAUUCUAGAACAUUGAUCACCAUGAUCGGACUAAAGUGUCAAUGUAGGAUCGAAAGUAUGUCUAGAGGGGGUGAUUAGACUACUUGACCAAAUAAAAAUCUAUCAUUUUCCCAAUUUUAGUUGUGGGCAGAUUUUAGCAACUAGCACAAGUCAAGCAAUCAACCUACACAUGCAAUUCUAAGAGUAUAGCAACGGACAUUAAACAUUGCAUAUGAAGGUAAAUGAAAGGGUUUGAAGAAGGCAAACGCAAUGGAGACAUGGAGAUUUUUGGCGUUGUUCCGAUAGGUGGUGCUAUUGUAUGUCCACAUUGAUGGAGACUUCAACCCACGUUUGGGGAUCAGGGGUAAUCACACCAUACUUUAGACAUGUCAUGUCCAAUAUCCCAAUGUAGAAUUCUCGGAACAUUAGCAUAAUCACCGACUGAAGCUACCCCUAGAACUUCUGGAAUAAGAAGACCAGGAGCCCAUUCGGACCGAGUGCUGAGCUAGUCUUCAUCUCCGCGAUCAACCGACCAACCUCCUAUGGCAGAAAUGGGAGGGCAAUAAGUUUCACAUUAUUCCCGGCUAAGGCCCUAGCGUCGACGAGGCAGAAUUCUAUCGCUAAAGAAAACCUGGUCCGGUGCUCCGCCUUGAAGAGCUCUUAUAGAAGGAAGUAGACGACAUGUCAUGUCCAAUAUCCCAAUGNNNNNNNNNNNNNNNNNNNNNNNNNNNNNNNNNNNNNNNNNNNNNNNNNNNNNNNNNNNNNNNNNNNNNNNNNNNNNNNNNNNNNNNNNNNNNNNNNNNNNNNNNNNNNNNNNNNNNNNNNNNNNNNNNNNNNNNNNNNNNNNNNNNNNNNNNNNNNNNNNNNNNNNNNNNNNNNNNNNNNNNNNNNNNNNNNNNNNNNNNNNNNNNNNNNNNNNNNNNNNNNNNNNNNNNNNNNNNNNNNNNNNNNNNNNNNNNNNNNNNNNNNNNNNNNNNNNNNNNNNNNNNNNNNNNNNNNNNNNNNNNNNNNNNNNNNNNNNNNNNNNNNNNNNNNNNNNNNNNNNNNNNNNNNNNNNNNNNNNNNNNNNNNNNNNNNNNNNNNNNNNNNNNNNNNNNNNNNNNNNNNNNNNNNNNNNNNNNNNNNNNNNNNNNNNNNNNNNNNNNNNNNNNNNNNNNNNNNNNNNNNNNNNNNNNNNNNNNNNNNNNNNNNNNNNNNNNNNNNNNNNNNNNNNNNNNUUGAGAAUUUUUGCUCAUCACUGUGAUACCUCCUUCACAUUGUAUAGAAAAAAUAAAGAUGAGCAUGCAAGUUUGCGUAUGUUGAAACAAAAACGAUAGAACUAAACACCAUACUUAGCUCUUGAAUAUUGUGGACGACCGAUGUGAUUUUCAAAAUGGUUACCUCCGUUUUGAAACCGGCUGGGAAUUCCCAACGAUCAGGUUGCAGGCGCGCCAUGUGUUUUCCCGCAUGGUGGUGAUGAUAUGCUGAAAACCCUUAUGCCCCCCAUCAAUGCAAUGAACAAUACACGCUUAAAACUGCAUCGGUACAUGGAUCCAAUGAUAUGUUUUCGGUGACGCUACCCAACGAACGUUUGCCGGAGGUGCAUGGUAAAACAAAUGUUUUUUUGUGGUGGUUUACGUAGCAUGAACAUGACGAUUCCUUCAAGCGAGCACGGCAAUUUUCACGGUAAAACCCUUUGCUCCCAGAAAUUGCAUUGUGUCUAGGAAGAAAUCGCCAUGUGCGCCGUCUCGCUGGCUAUUAUUGUGGUGGUACUAUGGUUUUUGGUACACACCUAGCAACCGGAGGGUGUGCGUCUCUUUGGCCCGACAAAAUUGACCAUGCCAUGUUGGUGCUGUAGCCGUCGGGGAGGGAGAAGAAGAAAAAAGGGUCGACCACACCACCGAAGGUUCCAGAUGCCAGCAGAGACGCACGCACGCACGCCUGACCUGCCACAACGGAUUCUGUUGGUUAGGCCACCUACGACGAAUCGUGUGCACCGGUGCACGUCACGUCUUCCACAUCGGUCGCAAAGUGGAAACUCUCUCUCACAGAUUCUAAUCUAAUUUUUUUUUAGCAUCAGUACAGACACAAGCGCUCAUAUACACGCGCAUACACUCAUCCCUACGAAGCCAUCAUAGGCGUCUCGUCGUCGACGGGAACGUCUCCUUCUACUGAAAGCGCAUCGCCGGAAAUUCUAAAAUAAAUUCAGGAAUAAUGCGAGCACCAGGAUUUGAACCCUGAUGGGUUGGGAAUACCACUGUCCACCUAACCAACUCAACCACAGGUUGAUUCUAAUCUAAUGUUGAAAUAAUAAUCCUACUGGUACUACUACUACUAGGAAAAACAACAAUUGCGUAGGUAACCCGGAGUCGGAUACGCGUUCGCGGCUGGUCCCGCGCGUCGUAGAUCCCGUGGGCGGGCGGCUUCCCACCCGAACCGAACCGGACCGGCCACGUCGGCGGAGUCCAACGCAUUUCCGACACCGCGGGCCAACGGCGCCGCGCCACGUGGAGCGCGUGCGCCCGUCCACGCCAUCAUCCUCCGUCCCCCCACCACCUCGUAAUCAUCUCCGACUCUUCUUCCCCCCACCCCUACCCCCCGAGGCCUCGGCUCGCUCGUAAUCCCGACCCGAACCCGGCGGAAUCUCGCGCCGGUCAAACCCUAUCGCACGCGCGCGCGCGCCCCAGCCGCUCACGGAUCGGGAGGAUUAGGGCUCGCGAGCUGCUGCCCACCGGCGGUCUCCGCGGCGGCGGCGGCGGAGGAGAAGAGAGAUGGAGGGCCUCCUGCACAAGCUCAAGGGGCUCGACGCCUACCCCAAGGUCAACGAGGACUUCUACAAGCGCACGCUCUCCGGCGGCGUCGUCACGCUCAUCUCCGCCCUCGUCAUGCUGCUCCUCUUUGUCUCCGAGACCAGUAAGCGCCGCCUAUCCUCCUCCUCUUCAGCCCGCAAUGGCGUCGCCGCGAUGCGGAAUUCAAGGUCCACGGCCCACGAAAAGACGUCCGAUUAUACUACUUGCUAGAUGUCUCUAGGAAUUAACAGGCUGUUCAGCUCGGAUUGGGGCUAGGCUUGAUUUCAGUGACGCGGAUUUGGUGUGCUCCCGUAGUUACCCUUGCUUCAAAUUGAAUGCUGUGCAAGAUUUUCGAGAUGCUUUUGGGUUUGUCGGCGGUAACAUUUCUUUUGGGUUCGACAGAGGUGGUCUAUCUGACCAAGCAAUGUCUUUGCCGUCCGGGGAAGGAAAAGCUUCCACUUUUUGGUGGACAUGUCUACCUGUGCUGCGCUGGGCAUUGCCGCAGAUUGCAAUGCUUGAGCUGUUGGAAGAUUCCUGAGAAACUUUCCGUUUUAGUCCGUUCUGUUUGCCAGUUUGGUGGGGGACAAGGUUCAGUUUUUUCAUGUGUAUACAAGUGCUCAUGAAAGGUCAUACCUUUGCUGCUGUGUUCUUGCCUGUUGUUCAGAUCAUGUGUUCAGAAAUACUCCCCCUGUUCCUGAGUCGAUGGUGUUUACAUACUUUGGUGCAUACCAAGGCAGGGUGGCCGUGUGUGGUUUGGUGGGCAAUUUUACCCUCUCUUGACGCUCGAUGAAUGGAUCGGCGCGUGACAAUGGUGUAAUUGAGGUCGCACUACGAACGGGUAAUAACUGCGCGUGAGGGGUAAUUUUGCAGGAUACUCAAUUAAAUGGCGCCACGAGUUAGGAAGGGUAGUUUUGGAAAAUAUACCUAGGAACCGCGGGAAAAUACACCUAGGAACCGCGGGCGAAUGGCGUCACGAGUUAGGAAGGGUAGUUUUGGAAAAUAUACCUAGGAACCAUGGGAAAGUACACCUAGGAACCGCGGGAAAAUGGCGCCACGAGUUAGGAAGGGUAGUUUUGGAAAACAUAUAAAAUCGGAACGGAAGGAGUAGGUUGUCAUUUGGGUUAGCACGCCUGUGCCAUCAAUAUGUUCUUUGGAAUGUCUGCUGGUAAAAAGGUUAUAUUUCUUAUUAGUCAACAUAUUUUGACCAGAAUGGGUUUGCAGUUUAUAAAGUACUAAAGUUUAAGCGUUGAGGUCAGUGCCAAUGUUCUGCCAGAAAUUUGCAGUUGGAAUAUGUUGUGGUUUGCUCUGUUGGCCAAGUUUGAUUGUGCGUUUUUGUCCAGUGUCUAGUCAUGAAAUCUGUUGUGCAUUUGGUCUUAUCUUUUUUCCCCCCUUUUAUUUCAAUAUCGUGACCCUUUAUAUCCCUAGACGUUUCCAUUAAUGCUACAUAUGCUAGUCUAUCUCAAAUAAAUGAAGUCCGAAAAUGAUUCUAAUAGCCACUAUUUAUGUGUCUGCUAUUUUUGCAGGGUCGUAUUAUUAUUCAGCAACCGAGACUAAGUUGGUGGUAGACACGUCAAGAGGAGAAAGGCUAAGAGUAAAUGUUAGUAUUUGCCUUGUAUCGAUUAGACUUGAUUCAGUUUUUUUUCUGCCGUAAUUCAAUUGUUUCUCUAAAAGGCAUACUUCCGUAUAAUAUUUUGGCAACAUGGUGUUCAUAUGCCUUGUAAUACUAAAUCUAUUUUGCAGUUUGAUAUUACUUUCCCGAGUAUUCCUUGCACCCUUCUCAGUGUUGAUACAAGGGAUAUUAGUGGCGAGCAGCACCAGGACAUUGUACGGACUUCAGUCAUCUCCUUUUUUUGCUAAUUCUUGCUUUAUCUGCUGAUCCGUCAUCUUAUUCUUUCCAUUUUUUGUUGUAGAGGCAUGACAUUGAAAAAAAGAGAUUGGACUCACAUGGUAAUGUCAUUGAAUCAAGAAAAGAGGGCAUUGGUGGAACAAAGGUUGGUGUCUCAGUUUCACUUAGUAUGUUGAGCUCAUUAAAAAUUCUUGGUCUUGAAUAGGUGCUCAAUUUAGUAUGGGUGUUUUGAAGUUGAGGAACAUGUUUCCAUAGAUAACUGUAGAAACUGUGGUUGAAGUAUACGUACUUGAGUAAAAAAAAAAAACCUCUUCCUUACUUUCUAUGUUAAUCACCUUUUUGGGGGAGUGGAACAACCAGAAAUAAAUACAUAUUGUUAUUAUUUGGUAAGGAUUUAGUGUGAAUAGAGUGUACAUAUUUACAAACAGGGGACUGAAAUUUGAGAGCCAUUCUGGCUCCUAUAUCUUGCACAUGUGCGUAUACUGUGCAUCUGUGUAGUUCUCUGCUGGCAUGUGGGUUUCUUAAGGAGUUAACACUGAGUAAUUGGUACUCAAUAAUAUGUUGACAUAGAAAUACUUUUUCUACUAUAGAUACCUCGACACAAAAUCCUAAUAUCUAUAUUAGUUUCCUAUUUAGGCUUGUGAUAUUUGUCAUUGUUAUAAAGGGUUUUCUAUAUGUUUCCACCUGUACUUUGUGUAUUUAUGCUGGCCCUUGGCCUCCGGGGAAAACAAGUUGCAUAUUUGCUAACAUGGUUUCAUAGCCUAGGUUUAUGCCCUUCUUCUUCCUCUCCACGUGAGGGUCUUAUGUUCAGAUCAAAAAAUUGUUAUCUACGAUGAAACUGUAGCUCGUCGAAAUUAUAAGGCUAACCUAGUCUUAACCAUUUUUUCUUACUUAUCUCAGCAAGUAACCUCUAAUCAUAUCGCUAUAUUCUACUUUGUCAUUUGAUGCAUAUGCUUGAUUGAUCCUUUUUACAGAUCGAGAAACCAUUGCAAAAACAUGGUGGAAGGCUUGGCAAAGGCGAGGAAUAUUGUGGCACCUGUUAUGGUGCAGAGGAGGUGCGCACACUUUUGUGUUUUCCCUGUUUUAAUCUCAUUUUCUGUUACCUGUUUUACCUUUUUAACUUUGCACUGCUUGUGAUUUUUUGGAGCCCAGUCAGAUGAACAAUGCUGUAAUUCAUGUGAAGAAGUUAGGGAGGCCUACAAGAAGAAAGGGUGGGCUCUUACAAACCCUGACCUAAUCGACCAGGUAUAUGAAUUAUUUUGGCAUGUUUUUUUGCCUGGAUAUAUCCAGAAAAAACUUUGUUUUGAGAUUUUGUUUAGGAUUAAAAAGAAAUCCAUUGUAUGGUACUAUGUUGAAGAUUGUGGAUACCUUUCUGUGCUCUCUUGAAUGACAGAGAUGGCCCAUCCCUGAAAUAUUUGCAUGCCGUGCACUCUGCUGCAUCAUGUGCAACUUUGCACAUGAUACCGUCCCUUCUGUAUCGUAGGCUCGUAACUAGCCAUCAUCCUUCUCUGUUCUUUUUCAGGCGUUAAUUUACAUACUAGUGGCCAGUUAGACACGUUUUAAUGUGUUUGGUAACCCAUUUCAGUCUGUAUGUAGUCCAUAUUAAAAUAUCCAGAAAUCUUAUAAUAGUGAACGGAGGGGUACUGUUGAAGGGAAAUUACACACUGUAGGUUCUUUUUGAAUAUAAAAUUGAGACUUGCUCUACUAUUCGACGGCUGAUUCUGUUAGACCUAAUGUUGACAAUACAUGAUGUUUGGUAACUCAUUUCAGUCUGUAUGUAGUCCAUAUUAAAAUAUCCAGAAAUCUUAUAAUAGUGAACGAUUACUGUUGAAGGGAAAUUACACACCAAGGUUCUUUUUGAAGAUAAAAUUGAGGCAUGCUCUACUAUUCGACGGCUGAUUCUGUUAGACCUAAUGUUGACAAUACAUGAUGCUGCAAGCAAUAAGCUUGCAGGUGCAACAUGCCCCUAGAGUUGUAUAAUGUAUGCCUUGGAUCCUAUAAUGUCCAACAGAACUUUUUUAUGCGCUUUCUCUUUCUGCAUGCCUGCUGUUUGCAACUGCUAAGAUUUGUUUCUUCAAGAAAAGAACGGCUAAGAUUUAAUACAGUCUAUGAUGACUAUUGCAGUGCGCUAGAGAGGACUUCGUUGAAAGAGUUAAAACCCAACAUGGUGAAGGCUGUAGUGUCCAUGGCUUUCUAGAUGUUAGUAAAGUUGCUGGAAAUUUCCACUUUGCACCAGGCAAAGGAUAUUAUGAAUCAAAUGUAGAUGUGCCUGAGCUGACUGCUGAAGGAGGUUUCAAUGUAAGUAGGCUACAUAAUUUUUUCUUUCUUCCUUGGUUUAUUGAAAUGUUUGCCUUUAGUGUUCUCUAAUAUGCUGUGUGUAAUUUUACCAGAUUACUCACAAAAUAAACAAACUGUCCUUCGGGACAGAAUUCCCUGGUGCUGUCAACCCGCUUGAUGGGUAAGUCUACACCUCCAGCACAUUCAGCAUGCAAUGAACACAAUAAUAUGGAGCAUUCAUGUUCCUCUAAGUAAAUUUAAAUAUUUCAUAUUUUUUUCUUUAUUCUGCCCUCAAGUACUAACCAGUUUCAUGAACACAGUGCUCAGUGGACACAACCCGCAUCAGACGGGACAUACCAAUACUUCAUAAAAGUGGGUAUUGCUGCACUCAUGUUUGUUGCAGUUCUGUCACUUGCUUGUGCCCUUGGUUUAUGCAUCUAAGAUUUAAUGGGUAUUCCUUUCCAGGUCGUCCCUACAAUUUAUAAUGAUAUAAGAGGGCGCAAGAUCGAUUCAAACCAAGUUAGUAGAGUUCAUUGAAUGAUUACAUGCUCAACCUUUCUGUUAACAACCUUGAUGAUAACUGUUACUUUCAUUCACAGUUCUCAGUAACGGAGCACUUUAGAGAUGGAAAUGUUCAACCGAGACCCCAACCUGGGGUAUUUUUCUUCUAUGACUUCUCACCUAUAAAGGUAAAUAAUGAUGAUGUCAAAGAUGCACAUAUGAAUUUUCGCAGAAAUAUGUGACGGUUCUCACCUACGGAGUUUCUAUCUUGGCUUCUCAGCCUGUCCGCUAAUUUUGCUGUAUGUGGCUGCAUGUGUUCUCACUGCACAUGCAACUUGUGCAAAUGGCACCAUCUGUUUAUGUUAUUUUUAAAACGCACGCGUGCGCGCACCACACACGCACUUGAGGACUAAAAACCUAAAUCAUAUCCCUUUAUUUAUUUUAGAAUGAACAUGGCAUUCAUGCCCCUCCCAAAAUUUUGUUGGGGUCAAGCCUAAUGCGCAUCUCUAUUACUACCCAUUAUUAUGCUGUUAUUGCAUGCCCAUAGAGAGAGUUGCAGGAUGAAACUGGACUUGAUGAAAUAACCUUUAGAUUCGGUAAGUAUAUGAAGAUAGUAUGAUUGAUCUGUAGUUGGAAGGAGCAAUGCCUCCAUCUCGUGAGCGCUGAGAGUAAAAUAACAUACCGAGAUACGUUUGUGCCUGUGGUUGUGUACAUAUGAGUGGAGUAAAUCCACAAUUAGCAUGGAUACUUAGUACAAAACCGUGAUUUUGUCAAGUUAACUCUUUGUAGUUUGUAUACGUUUUGUUUAGUUUAGCCAUUUGUUGCGUGCACAAGAUUGAAAGCUACUCUAUUGAGCUCUUCAUGUCUCUGAGCAACUAUGAUUGAGUUUUUGACUCCAGCUGUAUGGCUAAUGUCUUGUGCAGGUGAUAUUCACAGAGGAAAAUAGAUCCUUCCUCCACUACCUGACAAACCUGUGUGCUAUAGUUGGAGGUAUGAACACUGCCUCUAGUUUAUGCAUGCACAAACUACCUUAUUUUAUCAUAUCAUAUCAUAUCAUGUUAAAGGUUGUCAUCUCUUUGAGUCACUUUUUAGUACAGAAAGUGUCCUUGUAUUUGUAUUAUGUUGCGUUCUGUAUAAAACUGUUUAGUACAGAAAGUGUCCUUAUAUUUGUAUUCUGUUGCGUUCUAUAUAAAACUGUGUUGAGUUUUUAGUCGAGGUCUCCACGUAGUGCGCCUUAUUGAUCUGUUUUCUGCAUGAUCCUCAGGGAUCUUCACCGUCGCUGGCAUCAUCGACUCGUUCAUAUACCAUGGACAGAAGGCACUUAAGAAGAAAAUGGAGAUAGGCAAGUACAGAUGAAACCACCCAAUAUUUUCCAAGUUCUGUGGCUUGUAAGGAGGUGGAUCCGGCAUAUGCGCGCCAAAAGACGACAAGACCCCAAAGGGUUACAAGGCAAUCGAAAGUGAUGAUACUGCACAUUAGUUGAUGAAAACUUGUAAAAAAGGAAAGACAGAAUAGGCUGGGUCUUGGGGGCAAGUGCUUUCAUGUCCAUUGAUAGAGACUCUAGUUGACUGGCCUGAACUGGCGCAAUGCUUACUGUACUUGGAAGUUGUUGGUGCAUCACAGAAUGUUCUCGUCAAUCGCUUCACUCAUUGUGUGUCACAUCUUCGUUACUGUGGGUUGUGUUGAUUUUGUUUUAUUUUGCACUUUAGCGUUUUGGCAGAGAUAUAUACUAGUUGACUUGAGCUCUUACGAAAUUAUAUUUGUAAUUCAUUUUCCUUUGAUUCAAAAUGCUAGUCUUUUAGGACAUGAUAUAAUACUAAGAUUUGGCCAACAAAUUUUAUGCAGACAAUAUUGCCUCACAUAGAACUGGUUACAUAAGUCGAAAUUUGUCAGUGUCAAUUCCAAACCGUUUUUGCAAUUUUGCCGAACACAGUUGAUGCCGUUCGAUCUAGAGCCAGAUAUCACAGUAUUUUUGCAAACUGACACACAUGUGCCAGGUAUCACAGCACAGUAAUAUAAUGCUGGCACUCCCUUCGAUCCAGAGUAAUUGUUGUCGGAGGGAUGUAUGAUUGUCACUUGGAAAUAAAUGUAUGAUUGUUAUUAAAAGGAUUUCCGUUAAUAUUUGAUUGCCAUUAUAAUUCAAGGUGAGGUUCCAGGAACGGGAAGGCGGGGAAUACCACUCUGUAUGUUGCUGGCAGGUAAGAGAGAGAAGAUCCUCAUCCAAAAGAAUGCGCAGCAAAACUGUAGCUUCAUUCCAAGGCUGUAUCUAAAUUGUCCAUCAGGAAAUUUGGCUCUUGUCAGCCUAGAAUCACUUCUUUUAGUCUGCUCUCAAACCUUCAUUCUAAGGAUGUAUCUAAAUUGACUUUGCUGAAGAAAUGGCCAUCACAAAACAAAACACGCAUUAUUCUCUCUUAGAGGCUAGAGGUUUCUUGUCAAGCCAGCAAUGAACCCUCUGUAUAUAGUUCCUUCUCUAAGCUGGCUUUGCUCUCCUCUCAUAUAACGCCUCUUAACACAUCGAUUUUCUAUAUUCAGAAUUGGAACAGAUCUGAUAAGCCUCCCCCUGUGGAUAAAAGAUUCGCCACUUGCACCGGGAUCAGAUCAACGCAGGAUGUGCCAGUCUGACAACCAGGUGCGCAUAGCUCCAUCUUAUCCACUCAGCUUUCAGAUUACACAUAGUAAUACACACGAUCUGAUCUGAUCUGAUCUGAUCAAACUACCAGGAGAAUCAUAUCAACAGUAACUACCUCAUACUGUUGUUAAUCCAAUGUUCUAAAUAUAGUUAAAAACAGUUCUUCUCACACCAUCUCGCUUAUUAUGGCAAUGGCUCAAACUAGGUAUAGAUAGUUUGAUUAGUUUGGCAGUAGAGGUAACUGUUCAAAUAACACUGAAAUUCAUGGUCUUCUCAAACAGAGAGAGAAAAAACAAAGGUGUUCCUAGUUUCCUAUCGAUCUUUUCACGAGGAGCUGCCAAAAGAAAAACAAAUCCUUCUCAAAGAAAGAUGCAACCUUUACCAUGGAGCUACAGAAACUCUAUCACAUUUAUGAAUCAUAAUAAGAUCAAUCAUACGUUGGAUGUGCAUUUAAUUUAAUUAAAAGAAUAGGCCACCAAGCAAACAAAAUAGGUGCAACUUGAACUUAACUGAGAAACAAUUAGGUGGCUGAAAGUGUAUAAUCUAACCUAUUUCCAAAAAAAAAUACACACUUGAGAUGGCAGGCAUGUACUGAUCUACAUUAUCCAAAGAUUCUCCUAAGUCAUGAUCGGUUUAGCUUAUUCACAAGUACACAUGCCAGCUUAUUAUUUUUAGGGUAAGUACACAUGCCAGCUGAAUCCAAAUGCUACUAUAUAUGUAGGAAAUCAUUCUUGUGCCAGCCUUACAAAUGACCCCACUAAAGAUCCCAAGGCCUCAAUUAUUCACAAAAACAAUGAGCAAAUUAUCGCUGUAACCACAUAAGAAUGGAUACAGCACGUUCACAUCUUCUGAAGCAUUCUUGUAAGAUAUUCCACUGCCAAAUUAUUUAUGUGUUCUUACUUUUUUCAUAUAAUAACUGGAUCAUGAUCCAAGUCAAACAGGAUGGGUUGUGAGUCUGCAUCUUGGCAUUAAUGGCAUGGCCAAGGAUAAUUGACCAAUGAUAACUAAUCUGGCAAUGCAAUUCUUUUUACCAAUGUACUCCAUAAGCUAGAUGAACUUGAUAGAACUAUAUCCAUAAAACCCAAGGAGAUAAGAGUAGGCGACUAGUAAUAAACUACUCCCUCUGUCCCAUAAUAUAGGACGUUUUUUGACACCAGUGUAGUGCCAAAAAACGUCCUACAUUAUGGGACGGAGGGAGUAACAAAUUAGGAAAGUCAACUUCAGGAAAGCAUCCUGGCAACCGUAACUACAGUAUCAAAAUAAAUACGCAGAUCAAAAUCAGCAUCAGAUUAGUACUUUUCAUUUUUUAGUCCCAAAUGGAUAACAUCUACCUGGAAGAAGAAUCUGUCUGGUCUCUUUUAAUGCUGCCUCGUGCAUGCUUCCUUCUAUGAAACUGCUGUGAAGUUUGGACCAGAUUUCCUGAAAGCACACCAGAAGUUGUGACAAAAUUAUUUUUACCCCUGCAGUGUGGUACAGACACAAGCUUAAACCAGUGAUUGAAUCUGAAUCUGAAUCUGAAGCUCCCAUACAAAGGGCAAGCAAUGUCAUUAGAAAGAGGAAACCAACACUACAUGUGGUUUCUCAGCCGGACAGGUCUUCUCGCAUUAUCUCGCUUACUAUGGCAGCAGAUGUAACUUCUCAAACUAGGUAUAGAUAAUUUGAUUAGUGUGGCAAUAAACGUAACUGUUCAAAUAACACUGAAAUUCAGGGUCUUAUCCAAGGGAGAGAAAAAAAAGGUGUUCCUAGUUGUUUCUUAUCGAUCUUUCCGCAAGGAACUGCCGAGAAAACAGAUCCUUCUCAAAGAAGGAUGCAAACUUUGCCAUGGAGCUACAAAAACCAAAUCACAUUUUGUGAAUCAUAAGAUCACUCGUGCAUUUAAAUUUUUAAACAAAUAGCCCACCAAACAAACAAAAAAUAAUGCCAAACUGAACGUAGCUGUGCAACAGUUAAGUGGCUGAAAACAUAUAAUCCAACUUAUUUCCCCCAAAAAACAUACACACUUGAGACAUGUAGUACAUCAUCCAAAGAUUCUCCAAAGUCACGAUCAGUUUAUUCACAAGUACACAUGCCAGCUUAUUAUUUUUAGGGGAAGAACACAUGCCAGCUGAAUCCAAACGCUAUACAUGUAGGGAAUCAUUUUUGGGCCAGCCUUACAAAUGGCCCCACUAAAGAUCCGAAGGCCUCAACUAUUCACAAAGUUGUAACCUCAUAAGAAUGGAUACAGCACGUUCACGUCUUCUAAAGCACUCUUGUAAGAUAUUCCACUGCCAAAUUAUUUAUGCGCUCUUACCUUUUUUAGAUGAUAAUGAUUGAUGUGUUCUUACUAACUGGAUCGUGAUCCGAAUCAAAUGGGAUGGGUUAAGUCUGCAUCUUGUCAUCAAUGGCAUGGCCAAGCAUAAUCGACCAAUGAUAACUAAUCUGAAAUUGCAAUUGUUUUUACCAACGGUACUCCAUAAGGUAGAUGGAGAUGAAUAGAGCCAUAUCCAUGCAACCCAAAGGAGAUAAGAGUAGACAAGUAGUAGCAUACCAACUUAUUAGCAAAAUCAACUUCAGGAAAGCAUCCUGGCAACCGUAACUAAAGUUCCAAAAUAAAUACGCAAACCAAAUCAGGUGGCAGCUUUUCCGCUGCACGAAUUUGCCAGUCAGCAUCAGAUUAGUCCUUUUCAUUUCUUAAUCUUAGAUGGAUAAAAUGUACUACCUGUAAGAAGAAUCUGGCUGGUCUUUUAAUGCUGCCUCGUGUAUGCUUCCUUCUAUGAAACUGCUGUGAAGUUUGGACCAGAUUUCCUGGAAGCAUAAGAGAAGAGCUGUGAAGAUUUGUUUUUACACAUGCAGCUCAAACAAUCUGAAGCUCCCACCUAGUCACAAUGGAUAAGCAUAAGGGCCAUGCCACUGGAAAGAGGAAACCAACACUGCAUGUGGUUUCUCAGUCGGACAGGUCUUACUUGAUGUAGUUUGGCUAAAAAAAAGUAGAGGCAGAGAAUGUCAAAAUGCACAUUGCCUCUUCAGAUAUCUCAACUGGCAGAAUCCUUUUGUGGGAGUGAAAAAUCAGCCUUGCAUUAACAAAAAAAAAGCAGCUUGUAUGAGGGUUAGAUCACAUCAGAGUGUCGUUAGAGAAGGGGAGCAAUGAGAAAAUGUACUGAUUUGAUAUGUUUUUCAUAUAGCUAACCAGAUGUCACCACUGUACAAAGAGCUAACACACCAGACAACAAGCACAGACUAUUACACAGACCAAAAGUUAAAGCAGCCAAACGACCCUUCUUGCACCAGCAAGCAGAUACCCCGGAAGAACUCCUAGAAGCCAUUCAUCUCCAGAAGGUAUGUGCGCCUCUUCAUCAGCGCCUUGGCAGCGAAUUUGAAUGGCCCAUCAAAUGCUCCAGAGAUGAACGCGUCCGUUUCCUUGCGGCUGACAUGGCCGCCAUUGCUUCCCUCGGUGGAGGGCUUGAUAGCAACCAGUGUAGCACCCUGCAACGCGAUUCCUCCGGGCAGCUCGAGAUAUGGCGCGUAUUUCAGCUUCAUGUUGCAGGCCGGGACCUGGGUCCUGUUGGAGCAUGCUGAGGCCGACAGUUGGUUCUCUCUGAACUCCUUCAGCUGCUCUGCUCCCAUGGUCAGCGUGCCCUGACCAUCGGCAUCGGUCAGCACCAAGCUCACAAGUGUGGCGUGCUCCUUGAUGAUCGACCGGAGAAGAUAAUGCCUCGUCGAUGCUGCGAUGAGGGAGCUGAUUGUCCACACGACACGGAGCUUGAGCCCGCCAUUGGUAUAGAAAGACUCCGGCAUGCUCCCAUUGUCCUCCGAAGACGGCUCGUGCUCUGCGCCAACAGGCUUGCGGUCAACCCUGGUGCCCCCGAGGAUCACGCAGUUCUGAAGCGUGCUCCCGUACUCUGCCCGCCAUUUCAGGAGCACCCCGUCCUCGGUCCCGACAUCCCCGGAAGGGAGCUCGAUGUGAAGGUUCCGAACGUGCGUGAAGCUCCGUAGCACCUGCGCCGGCGAGUGGUGCGCGAGCUGCGGGAAGAGCGGCCGCCCGGCGCCGUUGGGGCCGCGCGCGUUGUGGAAGGGCUUGAUGAUCGUGAAGAGCAUCAGCUUGAGGAAGUGGGAGAGGAUGUUCCGGGGCUUGGGCGAGGUCAGGUUGAGGGCGUCCUCGCCGUCGCCGUCGACCGCCACGACGCGGUCGAUCUUGACGCAGACGUCGUGGACGUGGGGCACGAGCCCGUUGAACCGCUUGGACGCGGCGGAGCAGCGGCCGAGGGAACGCACGUCCUCCACCUUGUUGAGGAUGAGCAGGACGAGCGAGUCCGGCAGGCAGUCGAACAGGUCGAGCUCGAGCUCGAGCGCCGGGUCCGCGUGGAUUCGGGCCUUGGGAAGCAUCGCGCCGCCGGAAGGUCACGCCUUCUGCGCCGCCCGCCCACCCACCCCGCGGAACAAACGGCACCAAGAUUGCCGGGAAUGGGCAAGAACAGGCUGCUCGACCUUGGCUCUUCGGAUGGCUCGCGCAAUGGCAGCAACCGCCCGCCAAAUCGACGCGACGCGACCGCCUGAAGGGAAGGAGAAGAGGAACAGCUCAGAGCACGGACGGGAAACAUCAGAGACAUGGAUGAAAUGUCAAGGGAUUGAAGCAACAUGCAGCAAAAUCACCAUCAACAAUCGAAGGGGACCUCAAAUGAAGAACCGGGCGAGUGGAAUCCACCAAUCUUUUACAUACCUCAGCCGCCGGUCGCCACCACCGCCGCAGCCGCGCGCGGACGAACAACUAACCCAGGCGAGCAAAUCGGACCGAGACCCGCCCAGAACCCGCGCUCUCCGCCGGAUCCGACGCCGGCGAGCGCCUGGGAGGCCAGGGAACCGCCCGAAAACUCCCCGCAAUUCCCCGCCCGACCGACCGACCGACCGCGGCGCGGCUGCUCCGGCGAGCAGAUGCAACGCACUCCGCGAGCUCCGAUUCGGCGGGCUCCCGGCGGCAAUCCGGCGAGGGUGCUGGCUAGGGUUUAUCGGAGGCGAGGGAUUGGGGAUAUUUUUCUCCGCUCCUCCCGGCGGCAGCUGUUUUUCUCUAGCUCGUGCGGUCGCAGAGGAACAACGAGAGUGCUUCUGCUCUGCUCUCCGGCACCACUCGACGGUGGGCGGCUUUUAAUAUCGGGCCGGAGGACGGGGGCGGUGGCGCCGUCAACAGGUAACGGCUCCCCGCAGUUAAGCCAAGCGGCGGUGGCGCGCCGUUGGUUGAUGGGUAACGGCGGGGGAGCCGUUGCUCCAGGUCCACGUCAGCCGGGGAGGGUGGUGUGUGGUGCGACAAAGCACUGUCAAUUUUCUCAUCAGACAAAAUAUAAACGGAGGCGCCCAAUUUGAACAAAUAAGCAUUCGUACCUAUGAAUCGGGCACGCAUCCUAUCUCUAUGAUCACCUUCGAAGGGUCGAGCCGAUAAAUUGUUACCGCAUUCUCACCUCUCAAACUAAUUUGAACCAUCGUUGUAUCACUUGCGCAUCAUCGUGUACCAAACCAUGAACACAAAUACUUUAGCCCCCUCCUUCUUAAGAAGCGUAGGGUUUCUUUGCCUUCCGUAUGUAUCGCCGCCGGUCUGCCUCGUCUCCGGUGGACUUAGAAUCAUGAUGGCGUGGUGGAUCCUGACCCUUGCUGGUGGGAGGGCUCUGUUUUUAGAUGUUCCUUUGAGUUUUAUUAGGGUUUCUGUCAUACUCAGAAAAACGAGAUGGCGGCGGCUCCCUGAAGAUGAAGUAAGGUUCUCCUCGCCUAGCCCGGUGGUGUCUCUAGCAUUGUAGGUGGGUGUGCGAAGGUGUGUCUCUGACGGAUUUGUACUUAGUGGAUUUGUACGGAUCUGAUCGUGGUUCGUCUACAUUCUUCUGUCUUCAUGUGGGAUCCUUUCUAUCUAUUACUCCCUCCGUCUCAAAAUAAGUGUCUUGAGCUUAGUACAAAUUUAUACUAGAGCUAGUACAAAGUUGAGACACUUAUUUUGGGACGGAGGGAGUACUAUUUUUUAACGGUGGUUGUUGUUGUUCUGUUGCGCUGGUUCUAUGGGGCCUCAACAUGAUGAUUUUCUGAUUGUUUAUUACAACUUGCUCGGUUUCGGUGGGGGAGGGGCAAUGAUGGCAACGCGUCUUCGGCCUGCUUCAGUGCUUGUAGUCGUCGCUAGGUGGUCUACGAAUUUAGAUGUAAUUUUUAUUACUUUUAGUGUUUUAUGUACUGCCGUGAUUGAAGAUGAAUAGACCGGUUCCUGCAAAAAAGAAAAAACCCAGAAGUUUUCAUAUUAAAAAAUGUACCGAACAGAUUUUCAACUUUGACAUACAAAGGAACCGAACUUUUUGGACAACUUCAUUCAUGUUUGCUAAUUACUCCGACAAUAUUAGCGCAUAAAUGUCACCGUGUUCAGCCUCUCUGUCACACACAAAAACUUUGAGCUGGCCUCCGGUCCUCGUGCAUCUCCUCUACCCACAUAGCCCGGAUAGGGCCGAGGACCAACACAUCCACAACGCUUGGACUUGCUUUAACGAAUAUUAGCACAUCCACAACACAUCCACAACGCAACAACCAAUCCUCCUAAUUGGAGAUCAGAGGAUGAGUGUGAGCUCGACGGCCCAACGAAUAUUAGCACGGAAAAAGACACGGGCCAGCGACAAGCCACGCCGGUCAAAAACAAGGAAAACAUACUCCAGCCCGGGAGACGGGGCAGGGGCAGGAGCCGUCGCGACCGUUGUCUUUUCGCCCUGUGACAGCGAGGUGGAUUUUUUCUAUAUAUUCCACCACGUACGACCCGAAGCCGACACGAGGAGGGAGGGAGGGAGGGAGCGGCGGAAACGACCAAGGCGUCGUUUUUGUGCUUGCGAAUCCAGUGAGGUGUGCGGCAGAUCUGGUCGUGAGGCGCACAUUUCUUCUCUUUUUAUCCCUCUGCUCGUCGUGAGGCGCGUCGUGUACCGGGAGGUCACGUUGCGUCGGCACGGACAAAAGCUAGUAGCGAUCACGCGGGCGACACGGACAAAUUGGCAGAGAUGUGAUGGUACAUGGAGCUUGGGAUUCUCGUGGUAGAGUGGUUGGACAACGAGCCCCCGCAUUUUCUGGAAUACACUAGGCGCGGACGUACGAUCUAGGGAAAAAAAUGGGUCGCGCUAACUGCCACACGUGUGACAGGAAGGGAGGCGCACCACACGUCUCUAAUAUAAACAGAUUGCCACGUCAUCGCAUCCAUGCAUGCAAGAAUCUUUUUGGAUUUUCAGUUUUUAAAAUGUUUUAUCUCUUAAACGAAAAAUCCGAUUGAAAAUCCGUUUUCACCAUUAAAUCCAUCGCGAUGAGAUCUUCGAAACUAGAUCCCAUGUUGAUAUGUUUUGAUGAAAUUUUUUUUGAAUUAAAAGUUGCCAUGUCUAUUGCAUAUGAAUUGCCAUGAUAUUUACACUGAAGUUAACAUUUCUGAAAAAAAUUCUGUGGAGACCGGCUGCAAAACCCGUUCCGUGCAUACCCAAUGCCAGAUGCGGCCACGUGUCCCACCUCGCCAUCCCACGUCCCCCUGUCCUCUGCUCCCGUUCGUGGUUUUUCUUGGCUCGAUCGCCUCUUCUCAGCUCCAGGAAACGUCUCUCGGCUCGGCUCGAUUGGAGUCAGCAUAGGAUUAUUUUUAUGGAAGUCGGCUCCACCACAUUCCCCUCAUUCGCCGCCGCCGAUGCCGUCGGAGUCGCCUCCGUCGUCCGCCGCCAGCACCUCGCCCGACACAGGAUAAAGCGAGCGCGUACACCGACCACAGUACACAGGUGCGGCUCCGAACUCCUUUUCUCGUCCGCUCGCCACUGACCCCCUGGUCCCAUGUUCAUCGCUUUUGGUUUCUACUCUCAAUCUACUAAUUAGGUACACGUGCAUUGCACGCAUGAGAUUUGGCAACCAAAUUAUGAAUAAACACCACACUAUAGCAUGUAACCUUUGAGUCAUAUAUGCAUGAUGUAGAUGUUCGUUUAAUUCUUAUAGUUCAUCUCAUUCAAAAUCAAUUAGUUUUAUAAAAAAAUUAAUCUAUUUUAAGAUUCAUGGAAUUGUGCGUUGUAAAGCAUAAAAUAAAAACAAAUAAUGGCAAUUCAUUUAGAAAAAAAAAG
rnacentral:lncRNA from 1 species